rnacentral:lncRNA from 1 species
CUAAAAUUAUAUUUGUAUUAUACUUUUUUUUCAAGAAAAGGAAUGUGAUUGGCUGGAUAUAGAUGAUAUAGUGUAUCUUCUAUAUAUAUAUAUAUAUAGCGAGAGAGAGAGAGAGAGAGAGAGAGAGAGAGAGAGAGAGUGAGAGAGUAGUGCUACUAUACUCCUAUGAGUAUGGAGUCCUUAUACUCAUAAGUUAUUUUCGAUGAUGGAGCUUCCGAAUUGACGAUCCACUCCGUUAAAUAUAAUCUAGAGUAUUUGAAACAUUUAGAAAAUAAAUUUCGUAAUUUUUCAAAAUCAUAAUAUAGUCCAUCAAGUGGGUAUAAAAUGAACGAUCGAAAUCGAACGACGUCCUAAAAAUGGAUGAUCGGAUCUUUCAAUUUAAGAUCGAAGUUAUUGAUCUUUUUCUAGGUAGUGAAUAGAAUUUUCUAUCAAAAAUUCAACCAAUUCCAAUUCUUUUACACCGUUAAACUAACAAGUAUCCGAUAUCGGCCGUUAAAAAUUGUCGAUUUUGUGAUUUUUUGAUCGUAAGGUAAAUGAUUUCAAAAAAUUAUAAAAUUUGAUUUCUAUAAGUUUUAAAUGCUCUAGAUAACGUUUAACAGUAUGGAUUGUCGAUUCGGAAGUUCUAUCAUCAACAACAACUUACGAGUACGAGGGUGAUCGUACUCAUAAGAGUAUAGUUGCCGGACUCUAUAUAUAUAUAUAUAGAGAGAGAGAGAGAGAAAGAGAGAGAUAGAGAGAGAGAGGUUGUAUGCUUCUAGAAGCACGGAGCCCUCCGUGCUAGAUCCUUUCAAAUCUUUUUCGAUGUUAGGACUUUCGAAUAGACGAUCGGCUCCAUUAGGCUUGAUCUAGAGUAUUUGAACUAUCUAAAAAAUAAAUUUUGCGAUUUUUCAAUAUCAUUUGUCUAGUGAUCGAAGGGCUAAAAAUCAACGGCUGAAAAUAAAAAUCUUAGACAAUGUGAUGAUAUGACAUUAAAAUUUAAGAUCAAAGAUAUUGAUCUUAUUUUUUAUAGUAUCAAGAAUUUUCUAUCAAAAUUUUACUAGAUUUAGAUAUUUCUACACGUUAAACUUGCAAACGGCUCACCACGGCAAUUAAAAUUAUUGAUUUUGAGCCCCUUCGAUCACUGGGAACAUGAUAUCGAAAAAUUACAAAAUUUAUUUUCUAGGUACUUCAAAGACUCUAGAUCAAAUCUAACGAAGCUAAUCGUUGAUUAAAGUCCUAACAUUGAAAAUGACUUGAAAGCACGGAAGACUCCGUGCUUCCAGAAGCAUACCACCCUCACUCUAUAUAUAUAUANCGAUACCAUUUACCUAGCAAUCGUAAGGAUUGAAAAUCAAUAAUUUUUAACGGCUAAAAAUAAAAAUUUUAUAAAAAGUGGUGAUAUAGCACUAAAAUUUUCGAUCAGAAAUAUUGAUCUUGUUGUAGAUAGUAUAAAGAAUCUUGUAUCAAAAUUUUAUCUGGUUUGAAUACUUCUACACCGUUAAACUUAAAAACGACAGAUAUCAACCAUUAAAAAUUAUUGAUUUCGAAUCCUUUCGAUCACUAGGUAAAUGAUAUCGAAAAAUCACAAAAAUUAUUUUCUAGAAACUUCAAAUACCCUAGAUCAAGUCUAACAGAGCCGAUCGUCAAUUCGAAAAUGGCUCAGGCCUCCAUGCUCCUGAGAGCACAGCAGCCCUACUCUAUAUAUAUAUAUAUAUAUAGAGAGAGAGAGAGAGAGAGAGAGAGAGAGAGAGAGAGAGAGGAGACUUCCUCACGAUUAUAACUCAUUAAAGAUCCUAUGAUUAUGGCUCAUUAAAGAUGUUAGCCAAUAAAUAGACUUUGGAUACAUGCUAUUCUUAGUGCAGGUGGCAAAAAAAUUUAAUAGUUGGUAUUUAAGGUUUUAAGUUUGAAGACUUGAUUAUUUUAUGUUUUUCAGCUAAGUUUAGUUUUUAAAAAAUAAAUGAAACGAACAUGUUACUUUUCUCUUAAAAAAAAAAAGGAAAAACUUCAAAAAAAUUCCGUGGUUUCACACUUUUUCAUUUUAGUACCAUGUGGUUUAAAGUGUAUCAAGUUAAUACCCUGUGGUUUCGCACUUUCUCACUUUAGUAUCCUGUGGUUUCAAGUGUAUCAAGUUAGUACUCUAUGGUUUUAUUUCUGUAUCAAGUUAGUACCAUGUGGUUUUAUUUUUUUUUGAAAUAUUAAACCACAGAGUACUAAAGUGAGAAAGUGCGAAAACACAGGGUACUAACUUGAUACACUUUAACCACAAGGUACUAAAGUGAGAAAGUGCGAAACCACAGGGUACUAACUUGACACACUUUAAACCAUAUGGUACUAAAGUAAGAAAAAGUGAAACCACAAUGGGGGUUUUUGAAGUUUUCCCGAAAAACAAAGACUUCGGAUUCUAGUGGAAGAAAACCAAGGUAAACUAUAUAGCUGUUUGGCUAAAUUUGUGAAUCUUUGCGAGUAAAGACAUACUAUGCAUCUAAUAGCUUGAAUGUGCAUGGCGUUAAAUUCUGGGUGGUGUAAGCGGUGCGGCGACUGGGCCGAGGUCCAACAUAUUGGCACUCAGGAAAAUGGUCGACAACUAUAGGGUAGUGCAAAGACCUGAUACGAUUGGGUGGAGAUGGUGUAACAACGGAGUGUUCUCGGUCAAAUCGGCAUAUAGAAUGUUAAGUGACGGGGGUACGAGGGAUGGACAUGCCCCCAAGAUCUGGAGGGUCCAAAUUCCUCUCAAGGUCAAAGUGUUCUGUUGGCUAGUUCUUAAGAAGAGACCUCUUACAACUGAUAAUCUCGUGAAGAAAGGUUGGACCGAAGAUUCAGUCUGCGUUCUGUGUAGGGUACACGAGGAGACAGUGGAUCACCUAUUCUCUCAAUGCGUCUUUACCAAAUUCUGCAUGGUGAUGAUUCGGAAGAGAGUUCAGGCUGGGGAGAUGGAAGAAGACGUACGUUACAUUUGGAAUAGGUGGUUGGCCAAGAAAGGGGUGCAUAAUAAGCAGAAUAGUUUAACGGAAUUUGUCGCUUGCUGGUGGACUAUUUGGAAGGCCAGAAACGACUUGAUCUUUUGAAACUCUCUUUUUGAUCCUGUUUUGGCUGUACAAAGGAUUAAGCAGCUUCUGAAGUUCUAGGAACCCCUCAUACGACUGAAUCUUUAGGAUUUUUUUUUUUUGACUGUUGCAUCUUUCCUUGAGGCCUUAGUUGUCUCACUUCUGUAACUUAGUUCAUACAUUCAAUGAAUGAAGCAGCUAGCAUACUACCUUUCCUCAAAAAAAAAAAAAAGUGAAUUGCGUUGAUUAGUUGAAACAGUCACAUGUGGUAGGGCCAAGAACUUAUUUACAAUUAUAGGACCCACACUUCACAACGGUAGAUAGUAUUUUAGUAAAUUAAUAUUAUAUAAUUCUUAAAAUUUUAAAAUUAAGAAAACUUAUAAUGAAAAAUACAAAACAAACUUAUAUAUCCUUUUAUAUAUUAUAAAAACUAUUUUUUUACUAAUAUUUUUAACUUUCAGUAUUUGUAGAGUUGAAGUAUUCUAAUAACUUUACUUAAAAAUUCCAUCAAACUUAAUAGUUUUAGUAGCUAUUUUAUAAAUAAAUUUUUAUUUUAAAAGUUAAAUUGGAGGAAUUAUAGUUAAGUAUUAUAUACCGCGAUUUAUAUUAUAGAACUAAUUUCUAAUAUCAAAAUAUAAUUAAAUAUAUCUAAGCUAUAAAGUCUAAUAAUUUAAAUAUAUUUGCUCAAUUAAAUUUUAAAUUUACUAUUUGAGAUUUGAAGCAUGUAGUGUAUAUAAUUAUAUUAUUCAGUAUAUAAUACUUAACUAUGGGCGGGGCUCUUUGAAAAGCUCUUUUGCAUAGUUCUAAAAAAAGAGGAGAAAUUUUUGCUUGCACUAAUAUUGCAUACAUCAUAACUUCAUAAGUAUAUUAGAUGAUUUAUAAAAUACCUAAUAGUUAGUGUUAUAAAAUAAACUAUGAUAUAGUGUAGUAUAAUAUAAAAUAUAAAAUAUUUAAAUAAUUUAUUAUAUUAUAGAAAUUUAUUUUUUAUUCAUAUUUUAUAUUCGGUCUACAGUACAAUUAGCGUGUCGAAAAUUUCUAUUUAGUACAUGACAUGUUUUUAUUGGCCAGGGGGCUAUAAUAGAGAUUUUGCUCCUCCAAAAACCAUUUUUAUGAUGUGACUGAACCGUCAAUUAUAUAUACUAUAUAUAGAUAAAGAUAUUUACUUUUUUCUCUCAAAUUUCAUUUUAUAGGAGUGAAUAAAGUGACUUUAAAUUAGCACUUACGUACCAACCUUAUAUUGACUACCAUUUCCCUUCACAUAAGCAGCAUCAAUUUCAAGCUUUAUGACUGGGCAAGUGUUUGAAAAUUGCAAUCAUAACCAUUAGAAGAUGUUGAGAUUUUUCUUCCAAAUUUUCAAUAAUAAUUAGGAAAUAUAAGAUCAUUUGACUUACCAACCCAUGCAUUCGUCACAAUUAGCUAUUUCUAUUUCCUUAACAACCACUCAGCUCCAUUUGGUAUUGUUUGCUGUCUAAUGUUAUUAAGUUACCAAAAAAAAAAAAGAAAAAAAAAAGUUCUUAUUAUUUUGAUAGAACUGUAAAAAUUAUACUUGAAUUGAGUUACUGUGAUAUACAUAACGUGAUAUUAUGUACCGACUUCGAUGCAACAAUGCAAUCAAUUCUCAUAUUUUUUGGCAUAUGUGGUAGCUUUGUAUUUCUACCCCUAUAUAAAAUAGGGAAAACUUCAAAUACCACCUAUGUGGUUUCGCAUUUUUUUACUUUAAUACCAUGUGGUUUAAAGUGUAUCAAUUUAGUACCCUGUGGUUUCGCGUUUUCUCACUUUAGUACCCUGUGAUUUAAAGUGCAUCAAUUUAGUACCAUGUGGUUUCAUUUUUUUCUUUUAAUCGGCUCCUUUGUUAAUAUUUUGUUAAAUUAUAUACAAAAAAAUUCAGAUAUCUAUCUAGGUUUAGCGAAUAUUUACUUUAGCAUCCUAUAGUUUUAACUUUGUCACUAUUUUUUUUUCCUACGUUAAUAUAUCGUUAAAUUAUAUAUAGAAAACUUUAGAUACUCUACUUAGGUUUAUUGAAUAUUCACUUUAGUACCUUUUAAUUUUAACUUUGUCACUAAUUUAAUGAAAAAAAAUUAGUAAAAUAGAUAAUAAAAAGAGAAAAAUGAAACCACAUGGUACUAACUUGAUACAUUUUAAAUCACAGGAUACUAAAGUGAGAAAGUGCGAAACCACAAGGGCUAACUUGAUACACUUUAAACCAUAGGGUACUAAAGUGAGAAAGUGCAUGUGAAAUCACAAGGGGGUUAUUUGAAGUUUACCCUAUAAAAUAAUCCUUCAUUGUACUUAACUUUGAAGUUGAUAGUUGGUAUCCGAGGUCCCAAGUUUGAAUCCUAAUUGAUUCACAUUUCAAACAAGUUUAUUUUUAUAUGAAAUAAACGAAGCAGAUAGCGUGCUACCUAUCUCUGUAAUAAAAAAAUAUAUAAAAAAAAAAAACUUUAGAAGUUGAUCACUAGCAAUUUAGUCCUUGUGGGAAAUGGACAAGAAAACUUUAUAAAAAAUGUCUAUGAAACGUUGAUUCAUAAAGAUGCUCACCAAGGUGGGAACCGAACCUCAUAAAUUUUGUACUCAUGUGUUAAACCUUAUAAAUUAAAAAUUAAGUUCGAGUUAAAAAAAUGCAUUCAAACAGUGAACAGUAUUAUAAUGCAUGGUAGUUGACUAAUUAAAAAUCUGCCCAUCAUAUAUAACAUAACAUAUAAAAAUUGGCUAAAUUACAGAAAACCUCUACGUCAAAACUCAAUUUUUUACUUUUUCCCUAUGUCAUUUAAAAACCUAUACUUUGCCCUCUUAUAAAAUAAAAAAUGUUCACAGGGGAUACAGUGUGAACUGUGAUGAUAAAAUGACCAUUUUGCCCCUCACCAUUUUGCCUCUCACCAUAUUCACAGAAAAAAAGACUGAGGACAUUUUUGGCAUAAAAAAAUAUAUAAUAAUAUUUUAUAAAGGGAACCCUAACGGAUUACUAACAGCAGGGGGCGAAGUGAACAUUUUUUAUUUUACAAGGAAAAAAAGUAUAGAUUUUUAAAUAACAGGAGGAGAAAGUGAAAAUUGGAUUUUCACAGAAAAAUUUUAUAUAAUUUAGCCAUAAAAAUUCUAUAAAAGAGCUACACGUUGCGUACCACCAUAAAACUAAUUUUAUAUAUUAUAAAUAAUUGAAUAAUUAAUACACGUAUAUUAAAGCUACUCUACAAAAUAUAAAUACAUUAGUAAAAUAUAUAGAUAAUAUUUUGAGGACAUAAAACAUUUUUUAAUAAUUAGGAGACAUUUUGGUUGGAUCCAGAAGCAUGUAGUUCAGUAGUUGGAGUUGUAAUGGUACAUAUGUCCAAUUUUGUUGGAUGCAGUAAAAGAGACUAUAAUAAUUUAUUUACUUACAUGUACUUUAUAUAUGGUAUGAGGUGGUGAAAUUACUUUCAAUAUAAGAAAAAAAAUAUUUUAUUUAAAAAAUAAUUAGAAAAGUAAGUUUAUUUUUCAUUUAAAAAUUAUUCUUUCCAACUGCUAUAAUUGAAACUGCGCUAAGGGUCUAUUUAGUUGCAUAAAAUUUCAACUAACUACAUGCGAAUCUAAAUCCAGCGUUUGGUUAAAUGCAUUUGAAUCCAACUGCAAUAGUUGGAAAUGCAUCAAGAGGCCCAACUAUAGUGGUUGAAACUAUAUCUAAAUUGGCCGUAAUUCCAACUACAAUAGUUGGAGAGAGUAAAUUUAAACAAGAGGUAGUAAGGUUAAUUUUUAAAUUCCUUUUUAAACAAAAAUAUUUUUUUAAUAAAGUGAUAAAAUUUUACAAACAUACUUCUCAACUUCAUAUACAAAAAUAAAUUAUUUAUAAAUGCAGCACUUUCUAUUACACUCAUCCAAAAUAACUCCGAUCUUGAAUUGAAGGAUUCGAUCAUCAUUUUUUAGGACGUCGUUCGUUUUUGACCAUUCAUUUUAUGCCCACUUGAUGGACUUUAUUAUGAUUUCGAAAAUUUAGGAAAUUUAUUUUCUAAAAGUUUCAAAUACUUUAGAUCAUAUUUAACGGAGUGGAUCGUCGAUUCGGAAGCUCCAUCAUUGAAAACAACUUGCAAAACACUGGAUGGCUCAAAUAACUCCUAAGCAUACAGCCUCACUCUCUCUCUCUCUCUCUCUCUCUCUAUAUAUAGAUAUUAUAUAUCAUCUCCACGCAUGAUACUAAUUUCUACACAUAUUUUUUUUUUAUCUAUCAAACAAACAGUGGAACAUGAAAUAAACUUCAGUUCCAUAAUUUUACAAAAAAUAAAAAUAAUAAAUAAUUUUUAUCUUUAAAUUUAAUUUAUCUCAAAACUUAUUUAAAGCUAAAUUUUGCUGAAUCAGUAUAAAACAAAUCCAUUAUUAUCCCCAAAAAAAAAAAGCAAUAACAAAAAGGUUGGCGUAUUUUCGUAACUUGACCUCCAAAAAAGCAACAAUCCUAGACGGACGUACUCCGUCCGGAUAAUGCUAAGAAAAGAAUUUUUAAACUGAGUUUACAAGUAGCUCAGUUCCGCGAAUCUCGAUUUUGCAAGCGGUCCAAAACAAAAUUUGUGGGUCCCACAUGUCUAGUGCAAGACCCGCGUGCACAGCGACCGUUACACAAACACAACCUCACCACCACCAACAAAUGAAACCAAAAGCUCUCCACAAUCUUGUCAGCAGAAGAAGGCCGCAGCUCCCCAUUACACCUACCCCUAACUCUACCCAAAACUACGAAAGCAAAUGACUACAAAGAGACGUAUUGUAUUCGGUGGCAAAAAGAUUAGAUUGAUCGAGUCAUAUUUAAAAUAAUAAAUAAAUCGAGUUGGUAUCAAAUCAAAAAUCAAGGACAAGUAGAUUAUAUUCAUAUGCUUUUUAAAUAACUUAGUUGUGUAAGUCGAGAGAUAAACGAUUACGCCAUGGAACGUUGGAUCACAGGAAUCACAAGAUUGGGCUUGAUACUAUGUUAUUGAAAAGAUGAUAUGAUUAGUACACAAACAGACACGGACAAAGAGAGGAGUAAUGUGUACUGUCGAACGCAAGUAGGAAGGGAAAUAAAUGUCCAUGGCGGGAUACACGUUCUUCCUCUCCCUUCCAUUUUCUUCGCCAAUUUUACUCCUUCUAUUUGAAUCCCACACUGAUUUGUUAUAAUUCCUCAAAAAACGAGGAUGAUGACGAUGAUGAAUACGAGCGAGAGAGAGGAAAGAGUAAAAAGUUGUUUUUAAUUAAAGUAAUUGAAUUAAAGCAUAUAAAAUCAAAAAUGUAAUUUGAAUUUACAUCUAAAUUGUAUGGUUAAUUGCAUAAAGCUCCCAUAUAAACAUAUCGAAUGACAGACAUAUUUUUAUAAAGUUUAACUUUUUAUUUUUAUUCAUACAAAAAUUUUAAUAUUUUCAAAUAUAUUACUCAUGGUAGGAUUCAUUAGAAAAAUAUAAUUAACCAUAAGUAAAAUAUUUAAUUUUGAUUAAUGAAUGAGUUAAAUUGACUUUUUUACCCUUUUAUAUUAUUGAGCAAAAUAUUUUUUGUGAGGAUAUUUCUGUAUAAUUCUAACAAUUGAGAUUUUUUAAAAAAUAUAUUUAUAAGGAUAAAAAAAUUAUUUUACUUAUAUACUAUUAAAAAAUAAAUAGUUUUAUAAUGAUAACAAAUAAAAAGAUAAAUAUAAAUAUUAAAGAUAUUUUAUGAAAAUAAAAAUAAAAAAUUAAAUUUUAUAUAAUAUAUUUAUUCUUCAAUAUGUUUACACACAGCUGUACACAAUUAACCAUUACACCCAAUGAAAAUGCAUUGCCGAAUCUUCGCACGUGAUAUAUCGGGAUCCGGUACGUUCCGGCGUGCGAAUCGGUGCGCUCUCUGAACCUCUAGUCCACGUGGCAGAAUCACGUGCGACACUUACAAAAAAAUCAAUACCACAUUUAAUGGCUCAGAUAUGCCCCGCAUUGCAGAACUAUUUACCUAUCUAGCUUUUUUACAAAAAAAAUAUUUCCAAUCUAGUCUACUUUUGAAAAAUAUUCUCCAUCUAGUCUCAUUUUCAAAAAUUAGAGAAAAAAAAAUUAAUUCUUUUAAUAUAUAUUAAGGGGUUAAGUGGGGGAGAUUAUCUUUUUCUCUCUCCUCUCCCAUUAAUUUUUAUAUCAAAAUAAUCUUGAUUCCAUUCAGUGUAUAAAUUUCAUGUUUUAAUGUAUUAAAACCUAAAAUACGAGAAAUUCAAAUAGUUUUUGGAUCAGGACCAUUGUAAUCAACUCCUUUCGAACCAUGUAUAAUAUUUUUAUCAAAAUUUAAAAAGAUUAGAAUUGGUUGAUGGGCUAUAUGAAAAUUUUUUAUUUUAAAAUAAAUCGAUAUGAGAUAAAUUAUACACAAAAAUUAGAGAGUGAGAAGGGAUCUCGGAAAAGGAGAGAGAAAAAGAUAAUCUCCCCCACUUAACCCUUUAAUAUAUAUUAAAGGUAUUAAUUUCUCUUUUUUUUUUUAAUCUUUGAAAAUGAGGCUAGAUGCGGAAUAUUUUUCAAAAGAAGGCUAGAUAGGGAAUAUUUUUUUGUAAAGAGGCUAGAUAGGUAAAUAGUUCNNNNNNCCCUAAACGUCAGAUUCCCAUCCAACGGCCCACAUCUCUCGAAUCUGGCGACACCACCAAUGUCGUUAAAUUGCACUUUGAGUCCUCAAAAUUUAUGGCUUUUGACAUUUCCGUCCUCUAACUUUAAAAUGCAAUUACACUAGUUUAAACUUUUUAAAUUGUUACAAAUAAGAACUACAUCCCAAUUUAAGUUCACUAAUGUGGUAUUGGUGUAAUUUUAAGUGAUUAUUAUAUUAUCAAUUAUAAUAUUAUCACAUCAGUACCAUACUAGCAAUAUAUUAUUAUUUAAUUAAUUAAAUUAGAUUGUGCUAAUUUAAAAUUCACAUUCAACAAAGUCGGAGGACUAAAAGUGCAAUUUUGCCACCGCACUAAUCCCUUAAACUUUGGGCGAAGCUUUAUUUUAGUGCUCAAACCUUUAAUUUUAAUAUUUAAAAAUUUAAAAUUUAAUAAAAGUUUUAAUUUAGUUUUUAAAUUUUUAAUAGCAGAAAAAGUUAUAAUAAGAUAGAUGAUAAGAUUAAAAUAUGAGAUAAAAAAAUAAAUUACAAAUUUUUUUUUGUAAAUAUUUAUUUUUUUACUUUGCCACUUUAAAUUUUAAAAAUCUAUAUUUUAUUUUUUAAAAAAAUUUUAAAGGUAUUUUUAGAAGACUAUAACAUUAAUGGAAAGAACAAAGUGAUCAAAUUAUUUUUAUCUUUUUUAUAAAAGAUAAUUUUUUAAUAUAUUUCUGUAAUUUUGAAGAAUACUUUCGGUAUAAAUUAUAAAAAAUUGACGGAGUAAUAAUGGAGCUCUGAGAAGGGGAACUAAAUGCAAUAACCUGAAAUGUUGAAGGAGUAAAAUAUAAAAUUUUGAAAGUAAGAAAGGAAAGGUAAAAAUAUAUAUAUAUAUAUAUAAAUUUUCUAUAAUUUAGCCAAAAAAAGAAUUUUUUUACAAAUCAAUUAGUUUGAGGACUGAAAUGAAAGUAAAUCAAAAGGUUGGGGACUAGCGGUAUAAUUUACAUAUGGGAGGUAGGUAGGGCUCUAGAGAUGGCUCCGGUCGUAAUUACCUCGAAAACCAUGCCGAGAUUCCGAAACGUUUAUCCAUAAAAGGUUUAAAGCUCUUUGAGCAAUUAACCGAUCCGCGCUUGGUGGAAACCCUUUUUACUCUUUCCCUCUCUCUCGCUCGUAUUCAUCAUCGUCAUCAUCUUCGUUUUCUUUGAGGAAUUAUAACAAACAGGUGGUGGGAUUCAAAUAGAAGGAGUAAAAUUGGGAAGAAAAUGGAAGGGGAGAGGAAGAACGUUGGUAUCCUCGCCAUGGACAUUUAUUUCCCUCCUACUUGCGUUCGACAGGUACACAUUACUCUCUCUCUUUGUCCGUGCUGUUUGUGUACUAUCAUAUCAAUCUUUUCAAUAACAUAGUAUCAAGCCAAUCUUUGAUUCCUGUAUCCAUCGUUCCAUGGGGUAUCGUUUAUCUUUCGUACUACACAACUAAUUUAUUUAAAACAUAUGAAUAUAAUAUCUACUUGUCUUGAUUUUGAUUUGAUCCAACUCGAUUUAUUAUUAUUUUUAAAUAUGACUCGAUCCAAUCUAAUCUUUUUGCCACCGAAUACAAUACGUCUCUUUGUAGGUCAUUUGCUUCGGUAGUUUUUGGGGUAGAGUUAGGGGUAGGUGUAAUGGGGGAGCUGCGGCUUCUUCUGCUGCAAGAUUGUGGAGGCUUUUGGUUUUCAUUUGUUUGGUGGUGGUGAGGUGCUUGGUGUUUGGUGUAACCGGGCGCGUGCACCGGGUCUUGCACUGACAUGUGGGACCCACAAAUUUUGUUUUGACCGUUGCAAAAUCGAGAUCGCGGAUGAGCUCUUGUAAACUCAGUUUAAAAAUUCUUUUCUUUAGCAUUAUCCGACGGAGUACGUCCGCUAGGAUUGUUGCUUUUUUGGGGGUUAAGGUUACGAAAAUACGCCAACCUUUUUUUUAUUGCUUUUUUUUUUUUGGGGUAUAAUAAUGGAUUUGUUUUAUUACUGAUCAGCAAAGUUAGCUUUAAAUAAGUUUUGAGAUAAAUUAAAAUUUAGAUAAAAAUUAUUAUUAUUUUUUAUUUAUUUGUAUAAUUAUGGAACUGAAGUUAUUUCAGUUCCACUGUUUGUUUGAUAGAAAAUAAAUGUCGUAGAAAUUAGAUCAUGCGGGAGAUGAUAUAUAUAUAUAUAUAUAUAGAGAGAGAGAGAGAGAGAGAGAGAGUGGGCUGGUAUGCUUAUGGAAGUAUUGAGCCCUCCGUGUUUUCAAGUUGUUUUCGAUGUUCGGACUUUCAAAUCGACGAUCGGCUUCGUUAGAGUUGAUCUAGAGUAUUUGAAGUAUCUAGAAAAUAAANAUCCAUAAAAGGUUUAAAGCUCUUCGAGCAAUUAAGCGAUCCGCGCUUGGUGGAAACCCUUUUUACUCUUUCCCUCUCUCUCGCUCGUAUUCAUCAUCGUCAUCAUCUUCUUUUUCUUUGAGGAAUUAUAACAAACAGGUGGUGGGAUUCAAAUAGAAGGAGUAAAAUUGGGAAGAAAAUGGAAGGGGAGAGGAAGAACGUUGGUAUCCUCGCCAUGGACAUUUAUUUCCCUCCUACUUGCGUUCGACAGGUACACAUUAAUGCCACCCCCCAAUCUCUCCUCUCUCUUUGUUCGUGUUGUUUGUUUUCUAUUAGAUCGAUCUUUUCAAUAACACGGUACCAAGCUAAUCUUUGAUUCCUGUAUCCAUAGUUCUGUGGGAUAUCAUUUACCUUUCGCACUGACACAAUCAAUUCACUUAAAAUGUAUAAAUAUAACGUCUACAAGUCUCGAUUGUGAUUCGGUUCAACUCGAUUUUCUGUCAUUUUUAAACGUGACUCGAUCCAAUCUGAUCUUUUUGCCACCGAUAUGAUAUGUCUCUUUGUAGGUCAUUUGCUUCGGUGUUGGUUUCAUGGAGUGUCGGGGUAGUUUUUGGGGGUAGAGUUAGGGGUAGGUGUAAUGGGGGAGCUGCGGCUUCUUCUACAGCAAGAUUGUGGAGGCUUUUGGUUUUCAUUUGUUUGGUGGUGGGGAGGUGUUUGGUGUUUGGUGUAACCGGGCGCGUGCACCGGGUCUUGCACUGACAUGUGGGACCCACAAAUUUUGUUUUGACCGUUGCAAAAUCGAGAUCGCGGAUGAGCUCUUGUAAACUCAGUUUAAAAAUUCUUUAGCAUUAUCCGACGGAGUACGUCCGCGAGGAUUGUUGCUUUUUUGGGGGUUAAGGUUACGAAAAUACGCCAACCUUUUUUUUAUUGCUUUUUUUUUUUGGGUAUAAUAAUGGAUUUGUUUUAUUACUGAUCAGCAAAGUUAGCUUUAAAUAAGUUUUGAGAUAAAUUAAAAUUUAGAUAAAAAUUAUUAUUAUUUUUUAUUUAUUUGUAUAAUUAUGGAACUGAAGUUAUUUCAGUUUCACUGUUUGUUUGAUAAAAAAUAAAUGUCGUAGAAAUUAGACCAUGCGAGAGAUGAGUUUUAUAUAUAUAUAUAUAUAUAGUGGGCUGGUAUGCUUAUGGAAGCACGGAGCCCUCCGUGCUAGUUGUUUUCAAAGUUCAGACUUUCGAAUCGACGAUCGGCUUUGUUAGAGUUGAUCUAGAGUAUUUGGAGUACCUAAUAAAUUUUGUAAUUUUUCGAUAUCAUUUGCCUAGUGAUCGGAGGGGCUUAAAAUCAUUAAUUUUAAUGGCCGUGGUGAGCCGGUUGCAAGUUUAACGGUGUAGAAAUAUCCAAAUCACAUGAAUUUUGAUAAAAAAUUCUUUAUACCAUAUAAAACAAGAUCAAUAACUUUGAUCUAAAAUUUUAAUGUCAUAUCAUCAUAUUUUGUAAGAUUUUUAGUUUCAGCCGUUGAUUUUGAGCCAUUUAGAUCACUAGGCAAAUGAUAUCGAAAAAUCGCAAAAUUUAUUUUCUAGAUACUUCAAAUACUCUAGAUCAAGUCUAAAAGUGCCGAUCGUCGAUUCGUAAGUCCGAACAUCGAAAACAAAGUGGAAGCACGGAGCCCUCCGUGCUUCCAUAAGCAUCCUAGCCGCACUAUAUAUAUAUAUAUAUAUAUAUAUAUAUAAUUGGACUGAAAUGCUAUCGGUGGUAAACAAAUUUUGUUACCACUUAUUUGUUUUCGAUGAUGGAGCCUUCAAAUCGAUGAUCGGCAUCGUUAAAUAUGAUUUAUACCACUUGAAGUAUCUAAAAAUAAAAUUAUAAAUCUUUUCAAUAUUAUUGACUUAAUGCUCAAAGGGUUUUAAAAUUUAUAAUUUUAAUGGUCAAUAUGAAAUGUUUUUUUGUUUAACGGCGUGAAAAUAUUCAAAUCAAUUGAAUUUUGAUUAAAAUAUUUUUUAAAUUAUUUAAAACAAAAUUUAUACUCUCGAUCUUGAUUAUAAGAUACCUAUUAUCAUUUUUUAAAUGAUAUUUAUUUUUAGACUUUUUAAAAGAUAUUCAUUUUUGUGUCCAUUUGAUGGAAAAUAGAAUAAUAUUGAAAAAAAUAAAAAAAAUAAAAUUUGGUUUCUAGAUGCUUCAAGUAGUAAAAUAUUCAACGAUACCGAUCGUCAAUUUGGAAACUUCAUCAUCGAAAACAAAUGGAUGAAUUUCAUAAUUAUUUUUAAAAAUUACAAUAUUUAAUUUGUAAGUAUGUCUAAUGAUGUAAAUCAAUUUCAACGAUGUCAAUUAUCGAUUUAGAAUUUUAAUCAUCUAAAAUGACUUAAUAUAUCAAAGACUUCUAUCAUCUUGAAAUGACAGUGUUGGCCUCUAAAAUUUCACUAGGGUUACUAUACUUCUAUGGGCUUGGACUAUUAUACUCUUAUGAGUAUAAACUCCCGUAUACUCAUAAAUUUUUAACCUCUAAAAUUACACUAGAGUUACUAUACUUCUAUGGGCUUGGACUAUUAUACUCUUAUGAGUAUAAACCCCCUUAUACUCAUAAAUUUUUAACCGUUGAGUGAUGGGAUAUGUGAUUAGGAUGAUGGUGGUCCCCACUUAAAAUAAUAGUGGUCCCCUAAGGUUAAGUGGGUAGUUGGUUGAAUAGUAUGAUCUAACGGAUGGAAAUGAUCAAUAGAAUAAAUCUAAGGACCGAAAACUUAUGAGUAUAAGGAAGCCAAUACUCAUAAAAGUAUAGUAGCCGGACUCUACUUUUAUGAGUAUAGAUCUAUUUAUACUCAUAAAUUAUUUUUUAUGAUGGAGCUUUUAAAUUAAUGAUCCAUAUCGUUAAAUAUAAUUAAGAAUAUUUGAAACUUCUAGCAAAAGGAUGCAGUAUAAAUUUACCUUAUACACGCUAUUGAGAGCUUAAAUUUACCUUAUACAAGUACUUUAAGAACUAUAUACGUAAAUUUGUUAACAAAUCACAAAAUUCUACGGCAAAUAUUUGGGACCUCAAAUAUUUAGCAAUGGGAUGCAGUGGUACAAUUAGGGGAUAUUUUUUGCACCAAAAGCCGAGGGAGGUGAUUUUCGGCCAUAAAUACUAUUUUUAUUAUUUUAUUUAUCAUAAAUUAGCUUUGAUUGUAAUUUUAUUUUUUUAAAAUGUUAUAAUUGACUUUACUGUAGAUAGGGCUGGCAAUCUAGCUCACAGUAUCGGUUCUCGUUGGGCUUGAAAUGAACUCGAGAUCGAUUGCUCGUUUAAUAAACGAGCUGAAUACAAACUAAAUUUUUCAGUUCGAAACCUUAAUGAGUCGAACACAAGUUAAGGUCAGUUCGCUAGUAUUUAGCUCGAUAUACUUUAUUUAUAUUAUAAAUUUCUACUAUUUGAAUUUUUAGGCCAAUCCAAAUAUAAAAAGAUUUAUAUUUUCUAAAUUUUGAUUAUUAGAUUAAGAUUUUAAUUUUUUAUAAAUUUGCAUCCAGUAAUAAAGCUGCCAAUCUAACUUACUAUUCACGAACUAACUCAUAUUCAGCUCAUUAAUAAACAAAUCGAAUACGAGCUAAAUCUUUUAGCUCGAUAUUUUAACAAGUCAACUUGUAUUCUUUUUGUUUAAUAAACGAACGAAUAUGAGCCGGCCUCACUUCGCUCUUGUUCAGUUUGUUGAUAGUCCUAAUUUUCACAUCUCACAUACACUCUCUCGCGUUCUUGCAUUGUAGAUAGUGCCUAAAAUUUUUGAUGAAAUGAAUUUAAAAAAACGAUGACUAGAGUAUUAAAAUUACCAAUUUUUUAUUCAUCAAAUGGUAAUAAAAAAUAAUUUUAUUCGAAUUUUAGUUCAGCUGAAACUUUGAGAGUCUUAAUUUUCUAUGUGGUUGGGUCACACGCGCAGCGAUUUUGCACCGUUGGAUGGAGGAAUGAGGGUAAGGGUGGAAAAUUGUACGGAAGGGUCUCCGUUUGUGUGGGUAAUAAAAUUGCUGUACUGGUGACGUGGCAACGUGAGAGACCGAUCACGCGGGACAUUCACAGCGCCAAUGCACUCAUUGCAUGGCCCAAGAAUUGCUCAUGCAGUGACAAACGCGUAAUCUUAUUUGUAUAUCCAAAAGUGGCUGUUCGUGAUGAUUACAAACGCACUGCACUCAUUGUACUGCACAAUAAUUGUUUUUCGAAUGUACACAUGUGUAUAAUGUUAUUUGUAUAUUCAAAAGCCGAUGUAAGUAGAGUAAUGCUUACAUCUACUGUGCCCAUACAAAGCUUUCUAUGAUUAGAAGUUGUUAAGACUAGUAAGUAAAUAUUAGCAUUUGGAUGGCUAGAAUGCAAAAUUUACAUCUUAUAUUUAGCUAUACUCUUAAAUAGUUUCACAUUCAAUAAUAUGAAAGAGCGCGGGAGGCCUAUACGUGACGGACGCAUAAUAUAUAAUAAAUAACUAGAUUUAAAUAUUUUAGGUCGGUGGUUCGGUUAUAGCAGUCUUUAGUGUUAGUGGGUUGGGUUAUUAUAGUUGGCAUCAAAGCUGGUUCACUAGCGGAAGUCUUUAGUGUUAAUGGGUUAGGUUAUUAUAGUUGGCAUCAAAGCUGGUUUACUAGCGGAAAAUGUGAGUAGGGGUGUAAAUGAGCCGAAUACGAGCGAGCUGGGGUCAGCUCGUGUUCGGCUAACGAGCUGAACGACGAGCUGACCCCAGCCGUGUUCGGCUUGUUUAUUAAACAAGAGCGAACACGAGCUGGCUCUAAAGUAUCGAGCCGCAAAAAUUCGCUCGUGUUCAGACUCGUUAUUAACGAGCCGAACACGAGCUGGCCUACGAGCUGGCAACGAAAAUAAAUUAAAAAGAUUAGAUUAAAUAUAUAUAAAAUAUAUAAAAUUUAUCCAUUAGAGUUUGAUCUAAUAGUGAAACUUUACAUAUAAAUGAGUCUUUUUAUAUUAAGCUCGUAUUAUAUUUUAUUUUACUAAAAAUUAAAUAAUAAAAUAUAUAAUAUAUAUAAUUAAUUUAUAUAUAUAAAAAUAUAAAUACAAAUAAAUUAAUAAAUAUUAAAAUAUAUUAUUCGAGUUCAUCGAGCCGAACACGAGCGAGCUGACCCCACUCGUGUUCGCUCGUUUAUUAAACGAGCUAAAAAUUCAGACUGUGUCGGCUCGUUUAAAAAAAACGAGCGAGCCGAUCUCAGUUCAUUUGAGCCGAAUACGAGCUGGCUCCGAACACGAGUUGGAUUGCACCCUAAAUGUGAGGUGGGCGUCACAUUAUUUGAUGAUUUUUAGCUUGUGUGUAUAGUGUUGACGAGAAAACGUCAGUUUAAAAUUGAUGUGCUUAAACUGGGUUUAAAUAUUUUGAGCUGACAUAUUAGGACCCACAAAUUAUUAGUGCCAGUAGGCUGAAUUAUUACAUAUCCAAAUAGUAUCACUCACAUAGAAAAACGCUCACGAGUGCAGUGCAUUUGUACAUCCUAAGAAAUGGUGAAAUCUUACACCCUCUUAUUUAAUGGUAAUAAAUUAUAUGUUUGUCAAAUUUUUUAAAAUAUUAACAAUUUAUUAGGUUUUGUGAAUUAUAAAAUAAAGUGUAAAAUCUAAACUCUUUUUUGACAGAUGUACAAAUAAUAACUUUCCUUUCCUUGCUCACCUAUUGCUCAUGAAGUUUCUUCCGAAUCAAAAUGAGAACUACCAACAUACAUAUUGCCGUAUAAGAGGUAAAGAUCACUUUUGGUGCUUUGCCUUUUUUUUUUUUCUUUUUUUUUUUUUUUUUUUCUUUUGAAAUCAAUAACAAAGCGAUACUCUUCUAGUUGAUAAUUUUGAUUUCACUAACAAAUAUUUAAAAUAUUCAAUUUAUUAUCAUAUUUUUUAUUUUAUUUGGCUUUAAAAUAUAAGCUAAUUAUUUUUUUUAAUGAAUUUAUAGUUACGAGGAAUUAUAUAAAAUACUAGCGUAAAUGCUGUAAAUAAAUAAUAUAGUUCAAAUUUUAAAAUUAAAGUGUCAUUGACUUACUCAAAUUAAAUAAAUUAAAAUAUUAGAUCAUAGUUCAAAAAAGCUAUGUUCUUUUUUACUAAAUGGAAAGAAAGAAAAAAAAAUUGUAAAACUUUAAAAUUUUGAUUGAAAAGUUUUAAAUUAAAAUAGAUCUUUAAAAUUUGGUUCAGAAUAAAUCAUACAAUUCACCAAAAUGUUUUAAUAAGAUCUCGUUCGGCUCAGGGAAGUUGCCCUUGCAGAUGGUACUAAUAAUUACACACAAAAAAGUGCUCAAACUAAAAACAUUAUCACAAAGAUGAAAGACCGUGUGAAAAGGUGGUCAACAGUCUCGCAAAAGUCAGUACCCUAGUUAGUUAAUUCGCAAAUUAUUCACGAAUUAUUCAUGAGUUAUUGAAAAUCCGAAUUAAAUGGUCCGUUUACAAAUUUUUUCCAAAGAAAGAAAGUUAUUCGUGAAUUUUUGGGCCAGCCGAAUUAUUCACGAAUUAUUCGCGAGUUAUUAAAAAUAUAAAUAAAAAAUUUAUAAUUUAUAUUUUUAAAUAUAAAUUAUCUUAUAUUUUAUAUCAAAUUCGAUUUUUAAGCCGAAUUUUUCAACGAAUUUAAAAAUUAGAAAACGAAUUUUAUGCGUAUUAUAUCCGUAUCAAAUUUUUGCCGAAUCUGAAUUUACUAAUUAUGGUCAGUACAGAGCACACAGGUCUUAUCCCCCAUCCACCCCCUUCAGAGAUUGUGUGAAAUUUUUUUUUUUUUUUCGCUUUCUUUCAUAUGCCUAUUUGCCUUAUAUAUGUAGCUAAGUUUAUUAUUAUCAAUGAAAGAAGCGGAUAGCGUGCUAUCUUAUUCUCGAAAAAAAAAAAAAGACCAUGUGAAAUUAACUUCCGUUCUCAAAACUAUAACCGUUACACCUAGGUCUUUAAAUUUUAAUUUGUUACAAUUUUUUACUUGAAUUUUUUAAACUUUAAUAAAAUCUGACAAUCUAAUUUAGUUAAUUAAAUUUUGAUGUGUUAUUAAUAUAAGUGCGUUUGGUUCGAGUUAUCCUGGCAGGAUUACAGGCAAUCCUGCUAGGAUAACUGUGUUUGGUUAAUCCGCUAUGUAAUCUAGUCGUUAAUGUAGCAUUACAAAUCGAGCAGGAUUACAUCGAAAAUAUUAACGGGAGUGGGGUCGUGUAUCUUGCAUUACUGAAAUCCAUUAAUACUACAUAUUAUGUAAAAUGACAAUUUUACCCUCCAACAACCCCAAAUCUAAUUAACAGCAUUAUUUUCAUCUCUCUCGCCUUCCCCCCGGCCCUCUCUCUUGCACGCCGCUUUCUCUCGCUCUCUCUCUCUCUCGACGUCUCUCUCUCUCUCUCUCUCUCUCUCUCGCACGAACACCUAUCAUCUUCUAUUGCAUCGUCCUCCCAAGUAAUCAUCACGAUCUCCUACCCUCCAUUUGUCAUUUCCGUAAAAAAUAAUAUUCAAAUGACCACAAUAAGGGCAAUUUUGAAAAAAAUUAUACUUUUAUGUCAGAAUUACUAAAUUUUAUAAACUGAACCAAACAUAUUAAUGCUAUAAACACUGUAAUAUAGUAUUACAUUACUGUAUUAAACCAAACGCUCUAAUACAGCAUAGGUAGUACUCUUACGCCGAAAUUCAAGGUACCUGGAUAUGUCGAGAUACUUUGUAAUAUUGCAUAACUCGAACCAAACGGACCCUAAAAGUAACGUAGCAUCUUAAUUGUUAUUCUUAUUUAAUAUUAGUGACAUAUCAAUAAUUAAUAAAUUAAAUUAAAUUUUUAAAUUUGAUUGCAAUAAAUUAAAAUUUUAAAUUAAAAAUUAUAAUAAAUUGGUGAAGCGCUUGGUCCUUUUUUUUCGCUCUUUAUAUGUAGAGAGAGGGGGAAAAGCGAGGCAGGGGACCGUUGGGGGCUCUCUUCUCUCUCUCCUCUGUGUAUCGUUUUUGAAGAGGAAAUAACACAAACAGGUGAGGGGCGUAGAGAGCGACUCGACCAAAGCGUGCGAAUAGAGAUGGAAUUGGAGAAGAAGAGCGUUGGGAUCCUCGCCAUGGACAUCUACUUCCCUCCUACUUGCGUUCAACAGGUCUAAGAUGAGAUUUUUUUUUUUGUUUUUUGGGUGUUUUUUUCACCAUUUUUGGUCGAUUUUGUUUCCCUUUCUCGGUCCUUUAAAGCUUAAUGCGUGGUCUUAGUGUCGAAGGGGUGGUUUUAGCUCGCAUCUUAGGGGUUUUUUGGGUCUCUUCCAUGGUAAGAUCGUUUAGGGUUUCGUGAUUUGGGGAGUCCAAUGAGAGGUGGGUUUGAUACGAGAGAUGGUGGGUUCUACUCCAGCUUAUUUUGGAAGGGGCUCACUUGCGUCGUGACUCGUGAGUCAUGUUUGUUUCUGGUGCACGGGAUCUCAUGGUGGGGACCUUUUGGGUUUCUCUGAGAUUGUUGUCUCCAUCUCCCCGUUGAUAAGUCUCUUUUUCAGAUACAUUUUUUAUUCCGAGUUUAAUGUGGAUAUAUACGUGUUUUAUCCAUGAUUUAACAAAUAAAAAUGUUACUUUUUUUUUCCCUGAUCAAAGUUAAAAAGAUAAAGGAAAAAAAAAUCUGUUCUUGCAUCGAAGAGUGAUGUAAAGAAGGCAUUUUGCUGCUGUUAUUGUUUUGUGAAGUUCACUUUUGUUGUGAUUCUUUGUGUUAACUUUUGGAGUUAUGUAAAAUCGUGUUCUUGACGCAAAUGGCGGUGGUGGUCGCAGGAAGAGUUGGAGGCUUACGAUGGCGCGAGUAAAGGGAAGUAUACCAUCGGGCUCGGGCAGGAUUGCAUGGCCUUCUGCACAGAGUUGGAAGAUGUGAUCUCCAUGAGGUUGCCCCUGUGCAUAAGAAACUUUACGACAUUACAUCUUUUGAUUCUUUUACUUUUGGAUUAAUUCAUUUAACUGAUAUACACUAUUAUGCCAUCUUCAUUAGUUCUGCAAAAUCUUGUAAUGGUGGUGCAGUUCAACAGAACAUAUAUAUAUAUAUAUAUAUAUAUAUAAGGUCUGGCUACUAUACUAUUAUGAGUACGAUCGCUCUCGUACUCAUAAAUCGUUUUCGAUGAUAGAGCUUCCGAAUCGAUUACCCAUACCGUUAAACGUUAUUUACAGCAUUUAAAACUUCUAGAAAUCAAAUUUUGUAAUUUUUCGACAUCAUUUACCUUACGAUCAAGAGGUCACAAAUUUGACAAUUUUUAAUGGCCGGUAUGGGAUACUUUCUAGUUUAACGGUGUAAAACAAUCGGAAUUUGUUGAAUUUUUUAUAGAAAAUUCUAUUCACUACAUAGAUAAAGAUCAAUAACUCCGAUCUUGAAUUGAAGGAUCCGAUCAUUCUUUUUUAGGAUGUCAUUUGAUUUUGACCGUUCAUUUUAUGCCCGCUUGAUGGACUUUAUUAUAAUUUUGAAAAUUUACGAAAUUUAUUUUCUAGAAGUUUCAAAUACUCUAGAUCAUAUUUAACGGAGACUACGGAGUGGAUCGUCGAUUCAGAAGCUCCAUCAUCGAAAACAGCUUAUGAAUAUGAGGGCUCCAAUACUCAUAAUAGUAUAGUAGCCACGGCCUAUAUAUAUAUAUAUAUAUAUAUAUAUAUAUAUAUAUAUAUAGUGGGCUGGUAUGCUUCUGAAGCACGGAGCCCUCUGUGCUUCCAAGUUGUUUUCGAUGUUCGGACUUUCGAAUCGACGAUUGGCUCCGUUAGAGUUGAUUUAGAGUAUUUGAAGUACCUAGAAAAUAAAUUUUGUGAUUUUUCGAUAUCAUUUGCCUAGUGAUCGAAGGGGCUCAAAAUCAAUAAUUUUAACGGCCGUGGUGAGCCGUUUGCAAGUUUAACAGUGUAGAAAUAUCCAAAUCACAUUAAAUUUUGAUAGAAAAUUCUUUAUACCAUAUAAAACAAAAUCAAUAACUUUGAUCUAAAAUUUUAAUAUCAUAUCAUUAUAUUUUGUAAGAUUUUUAUUUUCAGCCGUUGAUUUUGAGCCACUUCGAUCACUAGGCAAAUGAUAUCGAAAAAUCGCAAAAUUUAUUUUCUAGAUACUUCAAAUACUCUAGAUCAAGUCUAACGGAGCCGAUCGUUGAUUCGAAAGUCCGAACAUCGAAAACAACUUGGAAGCACGGAGCGCUCCGUGCUUCCAGAAGCAUACCAGACACACACUCUCUCUCUCUCUCUCUAUAUAUAUAUAUAUAUAGUCCGGCUACUAUACUCUUGUGAGUACGAUCGUCUUCGUACUCAUAAGUUAUUUUCGAUGAUAGAGCUUCCGAAUCGACGAUCCAUACCGUUAAACAUUAUCUAGAGCAUUUAAAACUUCUAAAAAUCAAAUUUUAUAAUUUUUCGAUAUCAUUUACCUUACGAUCAAAAGUUCACAAAAUUGACAAUUUGUAACGGCCGAUAUGAGAUAUUUGCUAGUUUAACGGUGUAAAAGAAUUGGAAUAGGUUGAAUUUUUUUAUAGAAAAUUAUGUUUACUACCUAAAUAAAGAUCAAAACUCCGAUCUUAAAUUGAAGGAUCCGAUUAUCCAAUUUUAGGAUGUCGUUUGAUUUUGACCGUUCAUUUUAUACCCGCUUGAUGGACUUUAUAAUGGUUUUGAAAAAUUACGAAAUUUAUUUUCUAAAAGUUUCGAAUACUUUAGAUCAUGUUUAACGGUGUGGAUCGUCGAUUCGAAACCCCCAACAUCGAAAACAACUUACGAGUACGAAGGGCUCUAUACUCAUAAGAGUAUAGUAGCCCUAUAUAUAUAUAUAUAUAUAUAUAUAUAUAUAUAUAUAUAUCCUAGGAUUUCUGGCUCUUUAGGAUUUGUUUUGUUGUGCAUGACUGAAAUGAAAAUUCUACUUGAUGAGAUAUUGAUAUAGUGUAGUGGUUCAGCUUGACGGUUGUCACAUCCCUCCUCGAGAAAUAUCAGAUAGAUCCAAGUUCCAUUGGCCGCCUAGAAGUGGGAAGUGAGACUGUGAUAGACAAGAGCAAGUCUAUAAAGACAUGGCUGAUGCAAAUAUUUGAGGUUUGUUUUUGUCUUGAAAAUUACACAUUUGUCGUUGUGAUGCAACUAUUUAUAAACACCCUGUGUUGUGGUUAUUUGCUAUUUGAGGUCUGAGAAAUCAUAUGUAAACACCUUUUGUGGUGUGUGUGCCUUUUGUCAAAGGUGCGAAGUCUCUGUUCUGAAUUUGGGUUCACUUGCUGAAAUUUCGUCUUCUUGGUAGUUUUGGAUUUCCAUGAAACAUUCUCAAAAUGUUAUUGAAAUAUAGAUAUGAGAAGAACCAAUAAUGUAUACUUAUUUAUCAUAUAUAAAAUUCUCAAUUUGAAUGUAAUUUAGAAUAGAACAAAGUAGAUACUAGCUGAACCAGCUGAAGCUGCCAAAAUUGAUCUAAACCAAACCAAUGGACUGAUAUCAGCUAAAACCAUCAUGUUAGAAACUGACGGACCUGAAGAAGCCAAUGAAGCUGUCAAAACUCGACCAAUUUUGUGUCCAUUUUACCAGUGUUCAGUUUUGCUCAAAAUUUUUAACGAUGUGUCGACGUUAGUCCUGAAAAUUUUUGCCAAACUAGAAUUUCCUUGUCAGUCUACUUAGUGCAGUGUAUGUUCUCCAACUAGGUCACUAAAUGUAAUGUGGCAACUUUCUCAUGAAACACAGGAAUAUGGCAAUAGCGAUAUUGAAGGAGUUGACUCAACAAACGCUUGCUAUGGGGGGACAGCUGCUUUGCUUAACUGUGUGAAUUGGGUGGAGAGCAACUCAUGGGAUGGCCGUUAUGGACUUGUUGUUUGCACCGACAGUGCGGUAUGAGUUCAUUAUCUAUUUUGAGAAACUACAGUCUUUUCUCGAUUAUGGCAUUGAAUAUUUUGUACGUCUAUCAACAAAGUCUAUGAAUCCAAAUGCGUGGAUGAUCUUUUCUUUUCUAUUUCCUCCGUUAUUGGUGUUGUGCACUUGACUUUCUCUUGACCCAUAAUGAUUUGAAACUGUUUUUCCCGAAGGAUGCUGAUAUUAUCUUUUGUCGACGAGCAAUCCAUUUGUUUAGGUUAUGUAGUUUAUGAAAAUCACAUGGCAAAUCCAUUAGUGUGUUCCAUGCUUAUUGUCUUUUGGAGAUUUAUUCAUUUACAGUACUUGUUCUUUUGUUAGGUUUAUGCAGAAGGACCAGCUCGGCCUACUGGAGGUGCAGCUGCUAUUGCAAUGCUGAUUGGGCCAAAUGCUCCUAUUUCUUUUGAAAGCAAAUUAAGGGGAACUCACAUGGCUCACGUUUAUGACUUUUACAAGCCUAACCUUGCGAGUGAAUAUCCGGUUUGCUUUUUCACUCCAUUGUCAUCUUAUGCUUUCUAGUUUACUGAUUUAUCAAAUUCAUUUGAAAUUCUUUUUUGUUCAUGUACUAUCUUUUAUCAUUGGUUUAAUAAAUUGCUCUAAUUUCUGAACCAAAUGUUUCUGAGCAAAAGUUGAGCCAAAGCCAGAUGCCUCCACUGUAACCUCUUAUCAUGUCUUGUUAGUGACAGUAUUCAUGGAUUUUCUGACAGAUGUUCAAAAUGUUCGUCUCAUUGAUACAAUAUUUAAGAAGUGUUGUUUAUUGGCUUGAUUUUUUCAGUUGAACAAGCUGAUGUGAACAAUUAACAUUGUGUUGUAAAAAUGAACUCUAUUUAUCAUUUAUCUUUUUUUUCCUCAUUUCUCACUAGAUUCUGUGGUGUAGGUUGUUGAUGGGAAGCUAUCACAGACGUGUUAUCUCAUGGCGCUUGAUUCUUGUUACAGGCUGUUGUGUAACAAGUAAGAUAUGAUCAUGAAAGGUGGUAAUUUAAGUUCGACUUACACCAAUUACUUUUACUGAAUUAACCAUUUUCAUUCGUCAGGUAUGAAGGUCUUAAAGGAGAACAAUUUUCAAUUUUUGAUGCAGACUAUUUUGUUUUCCAUUCACCGUACAACAAGGUAUAGAAAACAUUUAUAUUUAUUCUUUAUUAUUUUGUUUUAUAUUUAUUCUUUAUUAUUUUUUCCUUACUGUGUGAAUCAGUGCCUCUUUGCUCUUUACUUUAUAUUCUACUUUUGCCGAGCUACAUAUUGGGGUCAUAAAAAAUUAAGUGAAUCAUUUCUUUUUCGCAAUUCAUAUUCAUAGCAGAUUUUUAAACAGUUUUUUGUCUUUGCUCUUGAACUCGUAUACAGCUGGUCCAGAAAAGCUUUGCUCGUUUGUACUACAACGAUUUCUUGCGAAAUUGCAGGUUCGGUCCUUCAACUUUUAAUAUUACCUGAUUUUCUAUUAUCGGCUACGGUACUAGUGAGGUUUUUGUAGACAAAUGGUGCUUGUAACAAGAAUGCAUUGGUUUACCGUGCUUGUUCGUCUUGAACAGACCAGCUAGUUUGUCCACCUAAAUGAAAUGCAGUUUCUCACACCACUUUAGAGACAAGAUUAUUGCUUGUCACGUUCAGUUUCUAUUUCUUUGGUGUUAUCUAAAGUUGUCCUUUACGGCGUCACUCAGCUGUGUUGAGAAGGACGCGAGGGAAAAAUUGGCGCCUUAUUCAAGCUUGUCUAGCGAGGAAAGCUACCGAAGCCGUGAUCUUGAAAAGGUUAAUCUUGAUGCUGCUCCAGUUUCGCAUGCUUACAUAGUUUUCGGUUCUCUUUAUCUCUUAUUGUCAUAUUGAUAAAUGUUCUUUUCUUUGAAUCACGCAGGCCUCACAACAAGUCGCAAAGCACUCGUACGAUAAAAAGGUUCAACCGUCCACUUUGCUACCUAAACAAGUUGGAAAUAUGUACACUGCAUCACUUUAUGCAGCAUUUGCAUCGCUCAUUCACGACAAGCACAAGACUCUGGUGCAGGACAUUUCCUUUUCUCUUUCAUUUCCUUUUGGUCUGUAAAACACUUCUUGCGAUGUAAUAUUUUCCAACUUUUAUUACAGGAUGGGCAACGGGUCGUUAUGUUCUCGUAUGGUAGCGGGCUGACUUCGACAAUGUUUUCGCUCAAACUUAAUGAAGGGCAACAUCCGUUCAGCCUAUCAAACAUUGCCGAUGUGAUGAACAUGUCGGAAAAAUUGAGUAAACGGCAUGUGGUACGUCUGUGGAAAUCAGAGGAAAAGUGGUUACUCUUUAUUUUUAACGAAGAAUUCUAGAAUCCUACCAUCAGUUAGGCUUGGCAACGCAAGCUAUAUCACUACACUUGAGUUCAAUGCUGAGAUCUUUGUUGACAUUACGUUUAUUUUGGCACACUAACUUUUUUGUUGUCUUUUUUCAUUCAGUUCUCCCCCGAGAAAUUCGUUGAGAAUAUGAAGAUUAUGGAACACCGAUACGGAGCGAAGGAUUUCGUGAACAGCGACAACACGAGCCUGCUAUCGGCUGGAACGUUCUACCUCACCCACGUCGAUUCAAUGUAUCGGAGAUAUUAUUUGAAGAAGGGCGAGAACGAGGUUGCCAACGGCAAGAUUGCUCCGAAUUCCCUGGUUCAUUGAUGAAAUGAAUGUAAAAGCAGCCGUCGAUUCCAGAGGAAUAGUCACCUGUCGGAAACUAGAUUGGAAAGCUCGAAUUGGUCAUUUGCUUCAACUAUCUUGUAGCUGCAUGUUGCUUAAAGUUUGUAAAAUUCCAGCUUCCUAGUUAAUGUUAUGUUCAGUAAGCAUAUCCAAUCUUUUGCUACUAUGUAUUGUUCAUUCCACUCUGAUUAGCAAGCAAGAUGGUUAUCAUUCUCUAGUACAGGAGAUUAUCUUCUAAGUUUUUUGAAGUAGAAUAUUUAGAUAAUCCUUUUUGUUCUCUUUUUUUUUUGUUUUUUUUUUAUUAGAAAAUCUUCCGGGGUGAGCACUAUUCGGUUAAAACUGAACCACUAAAUGAAACUGAGCGAAUCGUGUAGUUCAGUUUUAUCCAAUUUAGUUUGGUUCGGAAUUUAGAAAUUGGAAAAAUCAAAAAAACGCAAAAAUUGCAAACUAUUUAUUAAUCUUAAUAUUAUUAUUAUAGUUUGGAUUAAUAAGUUUUAAUAUAAAAUUAGUUGUUACUAUUAUCUUAUUUUUAUUAUUUAAAAAGAUUUAAAACCAAACAAAAGUAUUUUAUUAGAACCAAAUAAAUUGAAUCGAGCUGAUGGAAUUAUUUCGGUUUGCUUUCAGGAACCUUACUUGAUGCGAGAAGUGCAAAUCUCUUUAAUUUAUUUAAAAAGUUAAUAGUAUUUAACAGAAGAGGAGUGCAGCAGUAAAUAAGAUAAGUCAUUUCAUAUAUAAAAUGUACUAAUUUUAUUAAAUUAUGAACACUAAAAUUUUUAAAGAGUAAAAAUUAAAUUUACUUCCAAUCGUAAUAAAAAUUUAUAUUAAAUAAAUUAUUUUUAAAUAAGUUACCCCCAUAUUGAAGUAAAACCGUAGAUUUAAAAUACUUAGAUCGCCACUUUCUGUCUGAGAAGGUGGUCUAAAACGUCACACUUACACGACAUUAUUAUAUCUCAAAUCAAUCAUAUUAAUGUAAUAACUUUUUUUUCAAAAAAAUUAUCACAGAAUGAUUAACUCUAUUAAAGACUCAUUUGGUGAGGAAUAUGAAUGCCAUAGUGCAACUAUUUUUUUAGAGAAAAAUAGUAUAUUAUUUAUUUUUUUAUUUUUUAAAAAUAAAUUUAGCUGAAAGCAUGAAGCAACUAGAUUACGAAUUUGAGAUCUCGAGUAUCAAUCACUGAGCCUUUUGCUAUAGUACAACUGUAGCGUGGAACAUAGAGAAUUUUGAAGGGAAGCAAUGUGACCUGAAAAUUGUUGCAUGUGUAGGUAGGGGUGUAAUAUGGGCCAUGCCGGACCAGAGCUACCAAACCUCCAGCUCAGCACGGCUCUGAGACCCGAAAGGCUCAGGCUGUACCAGGCUGGGCCGUGCUCCAUGCGAUUCCUAAAAGAAUAUAUUUUUUUAAAAAAAUAUAAAAUUUAAAAUAUAAAUAAUAAAUUAUUUUUAUUUAAAUUAAUAUUUUGAUUACGAAUUUUAAAAUUUAUAAAAAUAAUUAUAAUAUAAUAAAUAUUUAAUUUUAAAAAAAAUAUUAUAUUUUUUAAGAAAAAAAAUUGGAAAGGGUGCAUUGGACCAAAAACCUCCUUCCAAGGACUACAAUGAAGAGCUCCUGGGUUCCCACGCAGGAGCUCAAAUUGGGCCCAAGACAACCUUGCCUUGGAUUCGGACCGUGCUGGCCCGGCACGGCCCAGACCCACCUCGGGCCGUGCCACGUCGAAUCGUCAGGUCCAAAAAGAGAGGCCCAACACGGCCCUGAAGCUUGGGCGGGAUCGGCCCGGGUGUUAUAGCACCGUACCGUACCCGUCCGGCCCAUUUUACAUUCCUAGUGUAGGCCGAAAACUUGAAAUAAUAUAAUAAUAUAAUAAUAAUAAUAAUGCACGGUGGUGGAGCAAGUUCCGGGCGAUAAUUUCUCCCUCACCGACUUCCAAUUCGCGGCCUCACCCCGCGCCUCUCUUCUCCCACUUUACCUCUUCUCCAAACCAAACAAAAACCCUAGACCCCAUUUCCUUCCCCAGAGCACCGCUCGACUCAUCCCUUCUUAUCGCAAAAUGGCCUUCGAAGACGACGAACACGAAAGAGUAGGAGGAGAGGAAGAAGAAGCCCAUCUCCAGUCGCUUCUCGAAGCUUCUCGAACCCCCGAGGGCCGCUCCCGCCUCGCCGGAACCCUAGCCCCCCUCCUCCUCCGCCGCCUCUCCCCCUCCUCCCCUCCCCGCAUCCUCCUCCUACGCCUCCGCCUCCUCCGCAACCUCUGCGCCGGGGACGUCGCCAACCAGGGCGCCUUCCUCGAAUCCGACGGCGCCGGCGCGGUCGCCGCCGCGAUCCUCCGGUCGCCGCCGGAUCCGACGGCGGAGAUCCGCCGGGCGGGGCUCCAGCUCCUCGGGAACGCCGCGCUCGGCGGGGAGCCCCACCGGGGCGCCGUGUGGACCCGGCUCUUCCCCGCCGGGUUCUUGGAGCUGGCCCGGGUCCGUGAACCCGGCGUUUGCGACCCCCUUUGCAUGGUGCUCGACACGUGUUGCUCCUCCGUUGGUGGGCGAGGGCGCUUGGAGGAGCUUUGUGGAACAGCGGCUGGGAUAGCUAUUAUCGUGGAGAUCGUGACCACUGCGUCUCAAGGUGUGGGGGCAUCAUAAACCCUAAAUUUGGUGAUAAUUUUUUUUGUUUUUUUAAAAGCCCCAUUGUGUUCUUUAUAAAGCAUGCAUUUUUAAGCUUGCUAAGUUGAGAUUAGGAGAUAACGUUCUCAAAAACAAUUAGGCUGUUUAUUGAAGAUGGAACAUUCGGAUCGACAAUCAACUCUGUUAAACAUUAUUCGGAGCAUUUGAAGUAUUUAGAAAUCGAAUUUUAUUAUUUUUAGGACUUACAAUCAAGGACAUCAUCAAGUGGCUGCGAAAUGAACAUUUAAAAGGAGUAACAUUGCGAAAAAUAGUGGUUUGAUUUUUUUUUUUUUUUUUUUUUCAGAUGCAGAUUGGAGUUGUCAAAUGUGGUCUAAACUCAUAAGUACCGAAAGAAUGUUCUAUGAAAAAUUCAGCGGGUUUAAAUUGUUCUAAACCAUUAAGCGAAUGAAGAGCGAAAGGCUCGUUUAGGCUGUCAAAAUUUGUCUAUUUUGAACCCUUUAGAUCACUCUUUAGAUCACUCGAUAAAUAAUUUUUAAAAAAAUUAUGAAAUUUGAUUUUUAUGUACUUCAAAUAUUCUAAAUUAAAUUUAACGGCGUCAAUCGCUUAUUUGCAUGCCCCAUCACAUACGACUCUGUAGUAAAAUAUGCCAUUUACUCUUUAGUGUGUUCAAGCUCAACUCUUUCAAAAGACAUUGCUUUAUGGAUUUAUUACUGAUGACAUAAUUCUAUUGAGAAUGUAUCUGAAUUUAAUGCUGUAAAAUUUUUUUUGGGGGAAAAGAUCAGGUUUUUUUUAUGCUUGUUUGUUUAACUGUAGAUACUGGUGAUUGCAGUUGGCUAUCAAGAGGAGUGGCUGGAGUGGCUUCUUUUCAAAAUCUGCGUGGAGGAGCGAAACUUCUCGAAUUUAUUCACUAAACUGAGCUUACCAGACGAUCCCGAUAGCUCUCCUCCACAUGAACUCGAAUCUGUAAAAUUCAACAUUAAGCAUGCAUUCCUCCUGGGGAUUCUUUCAAAGUGCUUGAGCGAGCGGCCGAAAGAAGUUAUUGUUUCCAACGAGUUCGCUCUUGACAUGCUGAAAAUUCUCAAGAGAGCUUCUGAAACUGUGGAUUUUGCUUCUCGAGGAAGCGCGGCUCUUCCUACCGGUUCUCCUGCUAUUGAUGUCUUGGGGUAUUCACUCCUCAUUUUGAGGGAUAUUUGUGCUUGGGAGCAUCCUUAUUCGCCUUCUUUAGACGCCCCCAUAGACUCAUUGCUCAAUGCUGGUCUUUUCGAGCUCCUUCUAACUUCCCUUCGCGAGCUCGAACCCCCGGCAAUCGUGAGAAAAUCCAUGGCGAGGGAACAAGCAAUUGAUCAAUUGACAUCUAGCCCUUCAAAUGUCUGCCCUUACAAGGGGUACAGGAGAGAUUUGGUUUCUGUCAUUGCGAAUUGCUUGCACCGAAGGAGGCGAGUUCAAGAUGAGGUCAGAAGGCAGAACGGGAUCCCGUUGCUCUUGCAGCAAUGCGUAGUCGACGAAGAUAACCCGUUGUUGAGAGAGUGGGGAUUGUUGGCGGUUAGGAACUUGCUCGAGGGGAAUGUGGAGAACCAGAAAGAAGUGGCGGAGUUCGAAAUGCAAGGGCCUGUCGUCACGCCGGAAAUCGCGCAGUUAGGGCUUAGAGUGGAGGUAGAUAAGGAAAAUCGGCGUGCAAAGCUGGUCAAUAUCAGCUGAUGUAAGUUGGAUUUGCACUUGAACUAGAGUUUUAGUGUGGCCGCUUACAAAGAUUUUAUGUUUUGUUGCUAAUUCAUGUGUGAGAUAUUUCUUUAUGUACUUUUCCUGCUCUUUUUGUGUUCGAUACGAUCAUACAAAUGACAGGUUAUCAGCCCAAUGUAUUCCAUAUGAUCAGGUAACACUAACUAUUAUGUAAUAGACUUCAUUAACAGUAUUUUGUCUCUGUGAGUAUAAUGAUUCAUAUCUUCAAAUCAAAAUUAUGAACACAAGCUUCUCUUAUAGAUAAAGAAUUAAAUUAGCAUAAAGAAGUUUCCGAACAGACUCAAUCAUGUACAGUGCAGGUUUAUAGGCCGAGGGUGACCGAAAGCUUUAAUCAGAGCAUUCGCUCAACAUUUAUCAACGAGUUUAAAGGAUUCAUAUUAUAACUAUACAGUAAAUUUGAUCAAUCACACAACAAUUUACUACAUGAUAAUAAAAUAGCUGAAUGAAUGAUAUUUCGUAAGCUUAUGCUUUCCAUUACAAUUUGAGGGUAUCAAAAUAAGCUUUAGAUAUUAUCGGUUUCUCUCUAUGUAUCCGCAAUGCUCCAUAUAAAAGCUGGUACAAGCAUACAACACCUUUGAAUAAAAAAAAAGAAAAAGAAAAAGGUGCAGGUAUUCAGGCCUUCUCAUCCACUACAAUAUGCUCAAGCUCGAGGUCUAACUGUUUAGUAUCACUUCACUCUUUACUUCGAAUCGAAGUAAAAGAAAUAGGCAAUGAAGCUAACACAGAAAAUCCGAACAAUGUCAAGCAAAAGAGACAUCCGAACGGAGAACAUAUUUAAUGUUUUUGGUAACAACACGAGCUUCAUGUAGCAUGCAGUCGUCUCCAUGAAUAUGAAGCAGCGCCAUUCCUGGAACCGGAGCGACCUACAAAUAAACCACAUUAGACCUGAGACAAGUGCAGAAACAAAUUAUCCAUUUUGCUACGUCAUGAGUUAUGAGGAAAUGAGACAGGGAAAGAGCGAACUCGAAGUUUAAGUUAAAAGGUUAUAAUAAGUUGCCGUUUUCACAAAUCAAAAGGGCAAAGUACCUCAGCUACAACUCGUCCUCUUUGAUCAUAAAAGACAGUUUCUCCUCCGACAAGAGACUCUGCCGAUGAAUCUUUGUUGUUGCCUUUGCCACUGAGAUAUAUUAAAAGGGUGUACUUCGUUAUGCGACCCUCUCCAAGAUCAACGCUCUCAUCAAUGUGGCGACCAAACCGCUGACCCACUGUAUACCUGGAAGAGGUCAAAAUCCAUGCUGUACCAUAGUUAGUUAAUUCGCGAAUUAUUCGCGAAUUAUUCGCGAAUUUUUGAUAUUCCGAAUAAAACGUCCGUUUUCGAACUUUUGGGAAAAAUUCGGAAAAAAUCGCGUUUUAUUGGAUAAAAGUAAUUAUUCGCGAAUUAAUCGGGUUCGCGAAUAAUUCGGAUCAAAAAAACGUCGCCGUUGCUGCGACUGCGAUGCUGCGACUGCGAUGCGGUCGCGGGCUUCGUGCAUGGCCCAAAACAGAAAAGAGUUCGCCUCUCAAAAAAAAAAAAAAAAAAACCUUCUCUGAAAUCGCCCCCUCCCAGUCUCCCAAACUCCCACCCCCACCCCUCCCAAAAAAGGGUUUGCCCUAACUUCUCACCCCUGCGGCGGUGCGGCCCUGCCACCGACCCGUGCGGCGGUCGCGGUCCCUUCCCCUCCCCCUCUUCCCUUCCGGCUGCUCGCCGAACGCAAUCGGAAGCCCCCCUCUUCAGAAAUCGAAGAUCGAGUUCUUCACUCUUCAGAAAUCGAAACCCUCCCCGUCGCCUCUUCCUCUUCCGCUUCCGCUAUCCAACGAUAUAUAGAUCAGUAAUAAGGUGGUUCUUUACAAACCAAGUACGAUUUGAGUUUUCAUUUUUUAAAGCAAAAGUUGGAAGCUUUUAGUCCAUCUGAUGGAUACUUUUUUAGACACAAAUGGCUCGAGUGCUUAAAUUGAAUGUGUCCAUUCUCUGUUAUGCACCUUAAAUUGUUAAGAACUUAAGACCCAAACAUAGAGCUAAAUAAUGUUAAUUAACCUAGGGACCAUGCCUACUUUAGACUUUAGAAUUUAUGAACUCUUGUAUUUUACAUUUAAAUAUGGACUAUCUUGAUCUCUUAUUUGCUUAAUUAUUUAUUCUUUUUUAGGCAUAAUAUAGUUUAUUAUUUUUUUAUUUAAUUUUGUAGCUCGUUAUUCUUAUAUUCUUAAAAAAUAUGAAUAUUUAUGCUAAUAGCAUAAAUUUUAAGAGGAAAAAAUUUAAUUUAAUAGCCGAAUUUUUGAUCCCGAAUUUUUAAUUGGUGAACGUAUAAUAUCCGUAUAAAUCACGUAUCCGAAUAAUUGACUAAUCCGUUUUUUAGCCGAUUUUUUCAACGAAUUUAAAAAUUAGAAGACGAAUUUUAUCCGAAUUAUACCCGUACCGAACUUUUGCCGAAUCCGAAUUAACUAACUAUGUGCUGUACUAUAAACUAAAAGUAAAAUUCACAGCAUGCGCACCUCAAUAUCAUUGUUGGUUCGGCUAAAUUAGUAACUUAAUUUUUGACAAAAAGAUAGGUCGAAAUUUUGCAAAAUCAUAGGCAUAGAAGAGAUCUCAUACAGCGCUUUUCCUUUAUCACUAGGUUGCCUUUUUUUUUAUAUAUAUACUUGCAAAGUUGCAAUAGUGAAAGGAUAGCAGGAAGUACAAUGUAUGAGAGAAGAAACUUGAACAUCUGCCAUUACCUGUAGAAUCUAAUAUUUGGAUUUAGACCCACAGCUACUUCGCCUGGAAGUUUGAUAUCGCCAAAUAUUUUCUUUAGGCCCGACUCCCAGAUGACUUCAGCUAGCGAUGGGUCGGUCAUGGAUAUACGAUCGUUGUCUCUAUACGCUUGGCCUCUAGCUGGUCCCAAGCUUCCCUGGUGGGUGAAGCCAAUUGCCUCUGCGGCUUCAACGAAAGCACUUGCUUCAGCAGCGCUGAAGAAAUUCGGUACCUAAAACAUUUCACGUAUUGCAUGAGAAAACCUAAACAGUUCGGAUUCACGACCAGAUUCAAAUACUUAGAAAAGCAGGAUCGAUUUUUCACGACAUUCUCGAGCCUACGGGCGGCUUAAACUUCAACCAAGUACUUUAGUCAAAAGCCAGGAGCCAAAAGAGAGACUACAUGUUCUCCAAAUUUCUAUACUCGAUAUUAGGGGUGGCCAUCCAGCUCGCUGUUCGCGAGCCAUCGGGUUCGCCGAAAUGAGCUCGAGAUCGCUCGCUCGCUUUAGUAAACGAGCCCGAACACCGAGCUGGAUUUUUCAGCUUCGUGUAAAAACGAGCCGAAAGAGUCUGGGUCAGCAUCCAUCCGUGUUCGCUCGUAUAACAGCUCGAAUACAUAUUUAUUAUUUAUAUAUUAAUUUAUUAUUUAUAUUUUAUAUAUAAAUAAAUAAUUAUAUAUAUAUAAUAUUUUUUAUUAUUUAAUUUUAGCAAAAUAAAAAUAUAAUGCUAGUUUAAUUAUAAAAAAAACUCAUUUAUAUUAAAGUUUCAACUAUUAAUAGAUCAAAAGUUUAAUGGAUAAGAUCUUUAUAAACUUUUUUUUUUACAUAUAAUUUAUCAUAUUUUUUUAAUUUAUUAUUCGUUUGGCCGCCUCAGGAGCACAGCUCGUGAACGAGCCGAACACAAGCUAUCUUUCGGCUCGAUUACCUUUAACGAGCCAGAUCGUUUCGGCUCGUUUAUUAACGAGCCGAACACGAGCCGACCCUAGCUCGCUCGUGUUCGGCUCGUUUACACCCCUACUCGAUAUCAGUCUUAGUGAAUAGUGACUAUGUUUUUGAAUCACUGUAUUAUAAGAUAAAAGUGUACAUACCUAACUUGAAUCAUGGAGCAUUUUGAAUCGGCUAUCCAACCAUUCACAAUUUUGAUUUUGCUAUCCAACCUUUUAAUUUAUUUGAUUUGCAAUAGUCAAUGGUAUUUUAACUUCAAAUUUUAAACUAAUUACUUUAAUGAAGUUAUAGUUUCAAAAAUUGCAUGAAGUAUACUAACUAAAUCUGUAAAGAUAAAUGACGUAUUCAAAUUUUAAAGUCAAAGUGCCGUUGACCGACUAAAAAUCAAAUAAAUUGAAAGGUUGGAUAGUAAAAUCAAAAUUUUGAAAGGUUAGACAGCAAAAUCAAAAUGGUCCAUAAUCCAAUAUGUUUCUACCAUUUCAUAAUUACUAAGUUCUUGAUUUGUUUAAAUCAAAGUGAAAAACUUAACCCUAUGGCUUCAAAUCAAAUGGUUAACAUAAUAGAGUAAAACUCCCUUAAUUUUAUUCCUCAUAAAUCAUAAUAGAGUAACUCUAACCAUCAACACGCAGAUAUAUACUCGAGUUUCGCAAAUAAAAUACAAUUUUGGGAUUUUGGGGCAUCCACAACUGGUUGAUUUGAUAACACGCUUCUCUACCUGAUUGCGGGAUUCAAUAUGGCCUUAAAUUAGGGCUAAACAAUGAGCAAAAACAGAUUAAUCCAAGCCUAAUUAGGUAAAAGCUGCAUCAAAUUGGAGAGUGAGAACAAUUAGGGUUAGCUAGGGUAUUCCUCUGAUGAGAUGGGAACACGACGUACCGUGAAGAGGAGGGUACCACGGAGGCGAUCGAUUUGGAGAUCCUUCUUGGGUUUAAUGGCGGGCCAUCUCCCUCCCAUCUCCUUUGCCCUACUCGUCUUCGUCUUCGUUUUCGUCUUCUUCCUCCGCUGCUCCCCGUCUCCCCCACCCGCGGCGCGAGUCGCCAUUGUCGAAGCUUCACCUUCGACAGGAAUUAGCUACCGGUGAAAAAUGAUCGGCGAGGGCGACGUGAGUUCGGGUAUAUGGGCACGAAGUGGGGAUGCAAAUGGAUCCCGGUUGGUGGAGCUCCGACCCGAUCCGCCCCGAAUGGUUAUAUGUAGGUGAGAACCAAAAAUAUAAAAAAAAAUGUAAUUUUUGUCGAACCGGAUCCACCAAAUAAAUAGAGCGGAACACGAAAAGCCUCUCUAAAUUUGCCCGCUUUUGUCCCAAUCCAUCUCAAAUAGAGCAAUAAAUGGUGAUAAAAAAUAAAAUUAAAAUUAAUUCGUCCCAAUCUAAUAAAAAAUAGAGUAGAAGAUACGAAACCCCUCCCACUCUGGAAUCCGCCCCAUUUGCAUCCAUUUGCAUUCCAAGAGCAAAGUACAAUGGGAUGAACUUAUUUUUUGACCAUCCACACACAUUACAUUAAAUUUAAAUUUAUGUGUAAUUUUAUUUUUUUCAAAACACCAUAACAAAAGUUAAAAUAAUAAUAAUAAUAAUUAUUAUUAUUAUAAUUUUUUUAUUCUUUUAUAUGCUAGUAUAAAAUUUUUGAUAAAAAAAUUAGAAUAUCUAUGAUUGUAAAGUCAAUUGAUUUUUCAUGAAACAAUUACAGCCGAAAAAAUAAAUUUUAUCUAAAUUUUAAUUUAAUUAAAAAUUAUUUUUAAUUUAAUGAUAUAACUCGCCCAUUACAUUCGAAUGAAGAAUUACUGAAACUAAGGGCACAAACCACAUAAUUUCAGCACAUAAAAUAAAUUUAUUUACAUCACAAAAGCCGGGAGACAGCCAAAAAUAGCUGCUACACAACUCACAUACAUGCUUAUAUAAUAUAAAUAAAUUGAUAUACAAAUUCAUGUUCUUUAAUCAGCGCAAUGUCAGCUGAGGCCUGUUUUUCUCAGAAUACCUGCAGGUCACCCAGCAGCUUUGAUGUCUACUCUACCUUUUCUAUAUUGUUAGAUUCUCUUGAAUGGCGAGAAAUGAGCCGCAAAUGUUUCCGCCCAAAUCAGGGAAAGUCUCGCAGCCGGGCAAGGGUCUCACCUUGCCCUUGCGGUCGACAUCCACGGGGUAUUUCAGAAGGUGGCCCCUCAUCUCAGUGAUCUGAUCGGAAGCGAACUGUCUCCAAUUCGUUUCUCCGAUAGACCGGACAUGCCUUAGACAUUCAAGGCUCUCCGGGCGCGUAAAGCUCUCCUCGAGAAAUCCUAUAUGCUCGGCCCAGAGUGACAUUCUAUAGCCGUGUAUCUACGAGUUACAUCAUCGAAACUAAGAUCAGAUAUCAUAAUAAGUUUCGGGUUACUUCAGUUUUUGUAGAAUGUCUCAUAGCUGAUUCAGUUACCUGUCCACGAGGAGCAGAUUGCUUCCGUGCCCAUGUGUACUGCGGCUGGUAAGCACCCAUUGCGAUCUCGGUAUCUCUCAAACCUUCCAAGGACCUCUGAUUGAUGUUCGCUGAUCCAAGUAUCACGAACUCGUCGUCCACGAUCAUGCCUUUCGAGUGUACAUAGAUCAUGAAUCUCCUGUUCUUCCUAGCAUGUUCCUGAGAAAAUAGCGUGAAUAAAUGUGAGGGCACUAGUCUCUCUCUUCCAAGAUGAAGCAUCCUAGUUAUUAUGUGCUUAAGAAUGCAGCUUAGUCUCUUGAGAUUAUAAAAGAAGAGACGUCCAUCGGCAAUAUCUAUUAGUCAUCUUAAUUAUUAGGUAAAAAUGUAUAAAACUGACCAAAUGGGUGAUAGUUGAGGUAAGUUUUAUACAUUUUCACCUAAUUAUUACUGCUGAAUAUAGUCUCUCAUGGUCAAGCCUCUAUUUUUUUUUCUUUAUCUUUUUUUUGUGUGUAUAAAUUUCCAAAAUACCAAUGCCAGCUGAAAGAAAAGGAUUGAAGUGAGGGGUUGUGCACUUUCAUACAUGUCUGAUGAUGGACAAUAGCUACGGAACUUUGAAAUAUUUUGUUGGACAUGACGAGCUUUUUCCUUAUUUGGAAGUUAAAAGUUCUAUUCUCACAUCUUAAUUGUAACUGCAGAUUACAAACUAUUCUAAGAUGAAUGCAAUCUUACUUGAGGAGUAUUUGCAGAGUUUGAAGUUCCAUCCGAAGCAUGAUAUGUGUCUACAGCCUCCCGAUUGCCAAGGCAAAAGAAGUUCAAAUAGUCUUGUGGCUCGUAUUUAUCCUCCAGUCCUACUUCCUUCAAGGCCCUAUAGAUUGUCUCAUACAUCAUCUGCAUCGUUUUAUUCUGCAGUGAUCGAGAACACGAAUAUCAGUUAUAGUGCAUUUUGUCAAAUAGCAAAGGAUAGCGUAUAGAAUUAUUGCAAAGCCUAGAAUAAAAUAAUAAUAAUAAUGCAAAAAAGGGGCAAAAAUAGCAUCAAAAUGAUGGAUGAAAUAUAAAUAUUUAUGACUGACUAAAUGUGCUACUCAAAAGCAUUCUUUGGCAAAUUUGCUAACUAGAUAGAUAGGAUAUCAUUGUUAUAAUUACGAAUUGAAAAUAGGGGAAAGUGAGAGACCAGUUUCAACAAUAACUGUUUAAAUCAGCAAAUUUUUAUGUAUUAUUAUGUGGCAAAUUAGGAAGUUGCCCAUAUCACCCAAAGAUCAGAUCAUAAUAGGUGAAUAGGUAUCAGAAGCAAAUUUUCUGCAGCAACGAAUUAUGUCAUUUCAACAACUAAACAAGUAGCUUCAAGUCCCUAACCAUAGGUUCAUUCCAUCUCCAAAGGUUAUUGGUAAGUGAAAAGUGACAACUAUUUGCCAGGUCAAUACUCUAGAACCGAUUACUUUUGAAUAGUGUGACCUUUUGUUGCUAUUACUGUUUUAAGUUCAUGAGCAAGGAAUCAAACCCAAUCAUUACUCGAACAACUUUAUGCCUAAAAAAUUCAUUCAUAGAAGACCAAUAGGUUGUUCCGAUUAAAUGAUGAUUUUGGAGGCCUUUAUAAAGGCAAAAACUAAAUUCAAAUAAUAUUAUCAGGAUAAGUCACCAUGCAUGACUAUUACGACUAAGCAACUUCUGUGUAACAGAAACAGUAAAUAGACCAGAACCGACAGAAGAACAAAUCCAAACAGAGAGGUAGCCGAACAGUCACCGUAAGUUUCUCAAAACAUGCAUCAGAAGUAACAAAGCGAACCUGCCAAAAAAGGAUCCUCUGAGUAGGAGCACUAGUUGGAUUACCCUCCGGCCACAUUGGAAUAACUAUAUAUGCAGAAAACCUCUCAUUUGCUUUAAUCUUGUUUGCAAUUUUAAGGGCAAUCUCAAUUGGUAUAAGAUUAUUAGCACCUACAAGACAAACAAAGGUCCAGAAAUCCACUGUAACAGAAGCAUUACCAACUAAAUAAAGGUUUGUAAUAUUAUAGCGACUGGAGAGUAGAAGAAUUUUAUGUUAUCUCAGCUUUUUUCUUCACUAAACUUAUGCUAAAUAACAAAUUUUUGCUUUGCUAGGUACGUUCAUGCUUACCAAUGUCUUUGUUUGAAUCCCAAUUAAAUGAAGAUCCAAGGAAGUACUGAUUCUCAAUAUAAAUGAAGUGUUGGGCUGCUCGGAUUGCAUUCACAUAAGCUGUAUGUAUGCUCAUAUCGAUCAACACAUUUUUUCCACACACAAGAUUCUGCUCGUAUAAUCAAGUCUGCCCAAGUCAGAAAGCAGCAACAGUAAAUCUAACAAUAAAAAGACUACAUAGUUUCAGAUACCUUUCUGGUUGCCUCUCUUGGAUCUUUUGGAAAACCUUUGACAGAAUUUGAAUCAAUUGACCGGAAGAUCUGAAUGUACGUGGAAGCAAAGAAAUUAUAAUAAUUUUCAGCAAGUCAGAUAAACAUGUAAUUCAAGAUAUUAGGAAAUGUACAACGUGAUUUUACCUGGACGUGCCAAGUCUCUGGAUCGUAAUCAGUUUGAUUUAUUAAUUCAUGGAUGCCAACAAUAUCAGGAAUUCUUUCAGUCUUGAGUAAUGCGUCAUCAUGUGACUUUCCAAGUUUUUUAAUCCCAUGACGUUUCGAUGCCUUUAACCAGCGCUCUUCGAAGUUUGUCAAAACAUCAUAAGCUGCCGGACCAUCAAUUUUAGAAUGCAAGUCAUGCCAUGGUUCUCUUGGGCCACGGGCAUCAAGUCCCUGCAAGGAAUAAUAAUAGAGCAGGAGACUACAAUACGAUUAACAAGAUGCCAAACAAACAAAUAUAAUGAAUCAAAAGAAAACAUGAGUGAACAAGUGUAUUAGGUAUCUUCUUUUCCGCAAAAUUGUAUAAGCAUCAGCCCAGAAAACGUUGAAUACAAGGUCUACAUUUCAGGGACAGUAUGCACAUUAUGAGGUCUAAACAAAUUAACAUCUAGAAGAUACUGAAUAAGCAGGCUUUGAUACAACAAUAUCCCUAAGAAUGAGUUCUACUUUUUUAUGUUUGUGGCAAAAGCUUGUAGUUACACAAAGAACCCAUCAAAAUACAAAAUUAAAAGCAUCCUAUGGACAGCAUGUUACAAACUAGAGCACCAGAAUGUGACCAGUGCAGACAAAAAAGUCAGAUGAAAGUUGAAACAUUACCGCAAAAUUAGGAUUGUGGUAGUCAUCCUUGUGCAAUGUUUGGAGGGUCCUAAAUAAAGGAUGUCUUGGAGUAUCAUAUCGUCCGCCACAUAGAUCAAGGCCUCCAACAAAAGCAAUGAUUUUUCUUCUACCAUGACCAGCAUCAGCAUCCAUAAUCACUGUUUUCUGAUGAUGAGUAAAGAUAGUCCCAGUUUCCUAGUUCCCAGAAAUUAGACUCGUUAGCACAACAUCUAUGAAUAUCAAGGAAGUUCUUGAUACUCUUGUAAAAUUAAAAAAACCCACAGAAAACCCCACAAUUUCAAGCAGAUCAGAGAAUUAGAAAUCUAUGGUAUAUAUGUUACUAAAAUGCAGUAGAAGAAAUGCUUUAUUGCAUCAAAUUGUAAAAACAACUUCAAAGCUAAUUAAAUAACAUCAUUACUGCAGAUAAUCCUCGCUCUAAACUUAAAUGGACGAAAUAUUAGGAACAAUUAGAAAAGGGAAACGUCAAGCAUGUGCAUGUAUACAUUGGCACACAAAUAGAGCUGUGACUGCUACAUCAUAAUUAUAUCCUAUGAUUAAUCCAACUGGCAAGAACUCAACCAGGAAAGAGCAUAUAAUCUUAAACCAAGUACACCAAAAAGGCCAUCCAAACAGACCAAUCAGGCUAUGAAAUUAUAAUUAGGUUCCGGUACCUAUAAUAGUUUAUUUGUUCUGUAAUUUAAUCUGCUUAGAUCUAUAUGAUGCACUUCUAUCAGUUUCGACCUAAUCUUGGAUAAAGCAUGACCUAGGCCAUCUUCAUGACCUGUACAAUGAAAGCAAAGCCUAGAUUAGCAUGGAUUUUGAGAAGCUAAUAAUAAUUCUUGUGAAUCUUUCAUCCAACUAACCAUCUGACAGGUAAUAUACAUGACAGAUAUAAGAGAGAAUUAUGUAUGCCAAUGAAGCAGGCCAAAUACAAAAAUUACAGGAUUUAAGACUACAAGAAACAAGUAUGGUUCAUGUACACCGCUAUGUCCACAGUUUGCUGGUUCUUAUGUGGCUAAAGAAAAGGACCACUAUGCAGUUUCAGCUACGUGAACGCGUCCUCUAAACAACAGCUGGAAAUGCAUUGCAAUUACAAAUUGCAACAAUCCACAUUGUCAACAGAGUCCAGAUAGAGGCAAAAAAAAUAUCUAAUUUUGAUAGUUUCACAGGAGUUUAAACAGAUAGGCAAGGUAACCUGUUGUUUCACCCAGCUGUGUCGUUUUCCAGCAGAACGGGGACAAAGCAACACCUGUACUGAAGAAUGCUUGAAAAAUCGACGUGUCUCCUCAUCAUGAGUACCCAUAACACCAUUCUGCACAUAUAAAUCUAAUAAGCAAAAUACUGAAUAACAAGCAUUUGUGAUGCUAAGUACAUGAUUAGAUUCUUCAGCAAUAUGGCAUGUUUACACGUAGAACACUACAACUACAAGAACUAAAAAGACUAUUCACCGCAGCCAAGAGAAGACUUAUAAAAAAGAUAGAAAAGAUUUAAGAGUGCAAUCACAGCAAAGUACUCUAAUUAAUUCUGCAAUCAUAUGAUUCUUGAUAGUUAAAGAUUUGGAUCAUCCCACGGAUUAAGUGUUAGGAAAAAGACAGUUUCUGGUAAAUAAUAAAGAGAAGUGCAAAAGGUGAUCAUAUAUCUCCGCAUGUUAAGGAAUAGAGGUGAACAACAAGAAGUCCAAUUAACAGAGUUCCAAAAAUUUCAAGUAACCAUGGAUAAUUUGGUGGGUGGCAAAGCCAAAAAUCCUCUUUAAAUCAAAAGACGAUGAUGCAAGAACAAACUAAUUUGAACCCCCACCGUUUGAAACCCCAAAAUGUUCCUCGAAGUCGGAUCAUCCCACACCAGAAGCAACACUCUCACCCCUUCCUGCGACUUAGACUUGAGAAGAUCACCCAACGUAAGAGCCUGCGCACCGCCGGUAUCGCGUACCAGUUGAAUUGUAUGAAACACCGACCACCCCACAAUGUAAACCAGGCGCCGUGCCUGGCUUAUCGCAUCGAAUAUGUCAUGCCAACACUUUCCAUGCUGAUAAUGAAAUCCAUGAUCCAAUACCAGCCCCGGGAGGCAACCGUCGGGGACAUGAGCAUCCUGAUACAGAGUAACCCUCCCACCCUUCCUUAAAGGGAAGUAAGUAUUCGGCACCCCGAAGUAGUCGGGGCCGGCACCGACCCCGUUAUGGUACGCGCUGAGCCUCGCCAUUGGGAUGUACUGUAUCGAUAGCCGGAGAACGGCACCGGGCUUACAGGGCUUGCCAUUCUGACCCAGAAUUGGGUAUGUUCCUUCCACCUUCUCUCCGGAGAAAAUUUGCUCCGCGGGGAUCGAAACGGUGCCGAUGAGCUGUGCGCCGACGACGUCACUGUCCUUGACCAUGAAGCGGACCUCGGCGGUCUCGUGGGCGACGGGGACAAUGAAGUGCUGGUUCCAGGCGGGGUUCUCGCUGUUGCUGACGACGUAGGUGCGGCCCACGGUGGCGGCGGCGACGGUGAUGGUGACGUAGGGAUCGCUGGUGAUCGAGGAGACCUUCUCGAGCUUGCCGCUGAGGGAGCUGGUGAGGCGGGGGCCGAGCAUGUCGCCGAGGGUCUUCGAGAACAUGUCCAUGUUGGGGAGGUUCCUCGCGUCCAACACCCACACGUCCAAGCUCCCGUGGAGGAGCAGCACCUUCAGGGACGCUUGCACGCCGUGCGGCGCCGCGCCGUAGGGCACGAUCUGCCCCGCCGCGCCGUGCUGCGACACCCCGCCCCCGCCGCCGCCGCCGUAGGGCACGAGCUGGCCGUGUUGCGACGCCGAUCCGGAGAAGCCGAAGGAGUCGGCGCGGUGGUGGGACGCCGCGGCGGCGGCGGGGGGGGGAUCGGAGAGGUGCAUGGAGGCGAUGACGUCGUGGAGAGGGUACAUCGAGGCGGAGGAGGAGGAGAAGCUCUCGGAGCCCGAAGAAGGAUAGGAAGGAUCAUGUUCGAAGCGGGAACUUCCGCCAUGGUGGAAGCUCGAGGAAGCAGAAGAAGAAGAAGAGGGUGGGAUGGGAUCGUAGGGGGUAGGGUUAGGGUACGCGUGGUGGGGGUAGUAGGGAUCGUAGGAUGGGGGAGGAGGGUAUUGUAAGGGCCCCGAAUGGUUGAAUUGGGGAGAGGGGUUCGGGGCGUGGGCGGGGAAGGAGCUCGAAGGGGCGAGGUAGGGAUACGGAGGAUGAGGAGGAGGAGAAGGGGUUUGGUGGGAAUCGUAGUGGGGAAGCGUAGCAGUAGGAGGAGGAGGAGGAGGAGGAGGAUAACCGUACGGAUAUGGCGGGUACGGGUUCCCGUAGUAGUUGUCCAUUUUCACGUUCGGAUUCCCCUUCCUCUUUCUCUCUCGCUCGCUCUCGAUCUAUCGUCGUAAUUCGUGCUAUAACGAAUGGAAAGAGCAAGAGCGAGAGAGAGAGAGAGAGAAAGAGAGGGAGGGGUGUGGCGUGAGGAUCGAGGAGAAUUGAGGUACAAGGGAAAGAAAAAAGAAGAGGGAGGGAGCGAGCGUGGAAGGGGAGAUAGAACGAAAACAAUUGCAUGCACCAGGUGCAUGGUGUUCGGCAUUACUUACGGAUUAUUUGGUAUUGAGGAAGAGAACUAGCCUACUAUGUUAUUAAUAGCACCAAGUCAUUGGUGCUACUAAGUUUUUGGCCAAUUAGAUUAAGAGAUGUGUGAUUAUGAUGAUUUGGGCCCCCUAGAGUUGAGUGGGUGAUUGGUUGAAUAGUAUGAUCUAAAAGUGAAAAUGAUCAAAAGAGCAGAUCUAACUGCGGAAAACUUGGUAGCACCAAAUGCUUCGUGCUAUUGAUAGUAUAGUAGUCGUACUCUUGAGAAAGACUAGGCGAGUCUGUUUAUUUAUUUUUCAGGCUUAGUUUGGUAUUGAGUUCUAUCUAACGCUAUUUAAAUAAAAUAGAAUUGGGGUAUAAAUAUAUAGAGAUAUAUUUCUGUAUUUUUCGGUGGAAUCGCAGAAAAUAUAUCGUGUAACGAAAUAUUACGUACGGAAACAAACAAAAUAUUUUUCUAUCGGACUUUCUUACUGUAUGUAAUGCAAUCUCUCUGCAAUUCCAAACGAAGCUUCGGUAACUUUCAAUUGAAAUGAUUUUUUUUAAAAAAAAAAUUCUACCAAAGUUUUUUUUUUCUACCUAUCACAAAAAAUAAAUUAAAUUAAAUUACAGCAUUUAAUUUAUUAUUUUUAUUAUUUUUUCUUCCAUCAUUGAUUUUUGUACUACUUAGGAUAAAGUAAAUUAUAGUAUUUUAGAAAACAGAAAGUUACGAACAAAUUUAAUUUACGGCAAAUAAAAAAAACAAAAAUAUUUACUGCUGAAAAAUAACUUUAUUCUUUUAUGGAACAAAUAUUAUUUAGAGUGAAAUGAGAGUUUGGGCGAUAGUAUAUUAUUAUUUGAUGUAAAUAUGUAACCGCAUAAGUUAUAUUUUAAUCGAAUUGCGGCGACAUACACAAUACGAUAGUUUUCUAUUUUAUUAUUUUUUUAUUACACAAAAUAUAAUCUGUUAAUAAUCCUAAACAACACCUAAGGUACAAUCAUCUUCAAAUUAAAAAAUGUAAGUUAUUGAAUAUGUACUUUAUGAUUUUUUUAAAAUAUAUAUAUAAUAUUAACCGUAAAUUUUUACAAAUAUUUUUCAUAUUUUGUUCUUAUGUUAAUACUCAUAAUGUGAAUUUAUUGAUUAGCUUGUACAAUUAGUCCAAAAAAUAUAUAAUAUUUUUCGACGAACUAAUUGAACGACUCAAAUUUAUUUAUUUUUACACUAUUAAUUUUUUUUGGAUUACUCAUUCUCUUGGUAGAAAAUUUUCAAAAUUCAUAAUUCAGCAUUACAUAGUUUUUUGAAUGAAUAUAAAUUUCGAAAAUAUUAAUCAAUUUUGAGUCUGUCGUGCACCGGGUGCAUGCAACCAUUUGCUAAUCGGGUGUGGUGGGGGAAUAAGACCGUUGGUGGGGACGUAGUGGGCGAGGACUACGCGCAGCGGCGCAGUUGAGGAUUCCGUGCGGAGUAGGUUGGUUUUUUUUUCCCUUUGACUUACCUUUUAUAUAUAUAUAUAUAUAUAUAUAUAUAUAUAUAUAUAUAUAUAUAUAUAUAGUUGAGCUAGAAUACUAUCGGUAGCAAACGGACUCCGUUGCCACCCAUUUGUUUUUAAUGAUGGGGCCUCCAAAUCGACGAUCGGCACCGUUAAAUAUGAUCUAUACCACUUGAAGUAUCUAGAAAUCAAAUUUUAUGCUUUUCCGAUAUUGUUCUCUUGUCCAUCAAGUGGGCGUAAAAAUGAACGACUAAAAAUGAAUAUUCUCUAAAAAAUGAUGAUAGAAAUUUUAUAAUCAUAAUCGAGAGUAUAGAUCUUGUUCUAAAUAGUUUAAAGAAUUUUCUAACUAAAAUUCAAUUGAUUUGAAUAGCUUUACACCGUUAAACGUGAAACACCUCAUAUCUACCACUAAAAUUACAAAGUUUGAAAUCUUUUGAUCAUUAGGUCAAUGAUAUCGAAAAGAUUUGAAAUUUGAUUUCUAGAUAGUUCAAGUGGUAUAGAUUAUGUUCAACGCUACCGAUUGUCGAUUUGGAGGUUCUAUCAUCGAAAACAAAUGGAUGACAACAGAGCCCGUUUGCUACUAAUAGUAUACUAGCUCAACUAUAU